UCCGACCACCUCCGCCUUCUUAUUCAACGAUUCCUCCACCGCAGACGUCAUCCUCCGUCUCUUCACCGACACCAUCACCCCGCCGGAAUCUCCCUCCUCCAUCUCCGUCGACUCCGCGCCAAUCUCUGAUCUCCAUGUCUACCUCCACUCCGACAUCCUCCGCCGCGCGAAGUACUUCUCCGCUCUGUUAUCCGACCGAUGGAUCAACAACGUACAUCCUCAACCUUCACCGGAGCAAAUCACCGAUCACGAACUCUUUCGUCUCAAUCUCGGUGUUCCACCUUCUCCAGGCUCAAUCCAGAAUCAUCUUACCGUCCUUGAGCUUCUCUACACAAACGAUUUCACAAAUGCGGUGGAAAACGUUUCCACCGCGCUUGAUUUGCUUCCGGUGGCGCUUGAAUUGCUUUUCGAAGACUGCGUUCGGUGGUGUGUGCGUUACCUCGAAGCGGUGCCGUGGACGGAGGAAGAAGAAAACCGAGUCGUUAACCUAAUUCCAUUUCUAAGCGAAGAAGAAUCAAAGGAACUCAUUGCUAGGGUUUCACCUGUAGGAGAAAAUGCUUGUGAAGAAAUGCUGGAAGGUUUAAUUUCAUCGGCGAUGAACAAUUACGGUAACACCGCAUUCGUGAAAGCGUUUGUAGGGAAGAUAUUAAGGGAUGUAUCUUCGAGGGAAACGGUGAAGAGGGUUUUGGAGAAAGCGUUUAGGGGGAGUUUGAAAACGGUGAAGCAAUCAUUGGAGGAUUAUUCGAGUCCGGUUUUUAGAGGGGAUCAUAAUGAAAAUGAAACGGAAGCAAUGCAGAGGGUGAAUUUGCAUAAGGCUUCUACUAUUGGGAAGCAUUUGUUAUGGCUUGUGGAGAGGAUGGUUGAGCUUAGGGUUGCAGAUGCAGCCGUGCGGGAAUGGAGUGAGCAAGAAGCUUUUACGGGUGAUUUGAAGAAGGCGUUUGGGGAAGAUGCAUGGAGGAAUAUCGUUCCCGGUCUUCCUGCUGUUAUUCUUAGGUGUACUUCUAAGCUUGCUCAUGCUGUUUGUGCUGGCACCGUUGUAGCUUCUACUCAGGUAACAUCUACCUGUUAACCUUUCCUUUUUUCGAUAGUAUGCUAUUGUAGUAUAUAUGAAGCACGGACAUUUAGACAUUUUAUGAAAAUGGUAGUGAUUGAAUGUAAUUACAUGGGUGGAUGUCGAGUUGUUCUGUCAAAUACCAGACACGUGUUCAAUUUGAAGUGUCGGUGUUACUAAAUUACUAUCUAGUGUGUGUCUUUGCAUGGAGAAUGUAGAUUUGGAAUGCUAUUUUAAGAAAGAAUUUGAUAAGUUUCUCAUUUAAGUUAGUUAUAUUUAAGUAGCAAUAAACUUAUAAGGGAUUUUGUGUAGGCCAAGAACUUGAUAGAUAUUUCAGUUGACAAGCUCUUGUAUGUUGUAUGUUAAACUAAUGCAACUAGGUCUUAAAAGCUGCAAUAGGGGUUUAGUUCAGCACCUCUAACUUCCUAAUUGCAAUGUGGUCUAAGUUUAUUAGUUUGAAUUGUUGAGAAUUAGUUAAUUUUUCCCUUUUUGGUCUUUUUUGUUUGAAACUUCAAAAGUUACAUACUUACAUUGAUCUGAUUAAUGCAAUUGAAUAAUCGGUGGCGGCGCUUGACAUCAUUUUUUGAGGGGGCCAAAAAUAUACAUAUAAUUUAUUUAUUUAUACAUAUAUUGAAGUAAUUAAUGUUGGCGCAAUGUGUUGGUCUCUUUAUUUUAAUGAGAGGUACUGGGUUCGAGUCCGAUAUAUUCCAUUUUGAGCCUUUAUUUUGUUAUCUUGAUCAAGAAAGAUUAACGGAGAUACAAAAAAUACAUACCCAAGUUUCGAAACCGCGCGCUUAAUAGUGAAGCAACUACUCUUAUCCACUGCACCAAGGUGCACAAUGUGAUAUGCUUAUCGCAUAGCAGUAUAUAUAUCAAAAGUUUGGAGAUGUCCCCUUAAAAUAAUUUUUUUUGGAGAUGACAUGGCCCCCUUUAGUCCUUGAGAAGCUCGCUGCUGAUUGGAUGCGUGUUUAGAAAAAUGAUUAUGAUUGAUUUUUGCAAAAAUUGUUUCGAGCCUUUGGACCAAGAUUAUGUGAUUUGUGUGUAAAUGUUUUUCUUAAUAACGAUGGUUGUACAAAACUUAAUACAAAACUAACAACUUGCUCAAGAUUUAUUCUACCAAUGCAAUUUUGGUUUAUAGUAAGUUUGUUUUUUUGUAAUCAAGUUUACUGCCACCAAACUCACAUUUGAAGUCUUUCAUCAUUUGUUCCCAAUAUGCUAGUCAAGCUGAGAAAACUAUUGAUGUUUCACAAUAUUCAAAUAUGAUUAUGUGAAACCUUGUUUUACAAAUUGUCUUCGACUUAAACAAUUUAAUCUUUUUUUUUUUAAUGGGGAAUGCUUGUUAUGACGUAAGGCAUCGCAAAAGUAUAUGAAAGUUUUGUGGUUGGUUAUUUUUUCACCCAUAAUCCCAUGUUUCCAUCGAUACGGAUUGGCUAUUUGACCAACCUUUAAUAAAAAGACAAGACAGCGUCAGUGUUUUCCGUUUUAUAUUUGCUUCUUAAUAAUUAGCAUCACUAUUUUUCUUAUGAUCUUUUGCUGACUAUAUUAAUUAAACGAAUACCAAAUUAAUGCAAAAUAGAAUGAAUAUUGACUGUUUUCCUAGGUGCCUUCCAAAAAUACCAAAGCGCCUAUAGCCUGGUUGUUUUAACUUUUGAGAGAUCUCGGACGAGAUCUAUUUAAGCAGUAUUACUUCAUUUGAUACGAAGUGUAUCAGGAGUUUUUUUCGUUUACCUUUGCUGUAACCCAAAGCUGUCGAAUUUGUACCUUGCCUAAUUUUGACGUUUCCUUUCAUUAGAUAUUUGAUAUUGAUUUUUUAUCAUGUUAAUUGCAUGGCAUUCGACAGUGUCUAGUUAAAUUUUCUAAGAUGACUUUCUAAUUUGACACAAUUUUAUCCAGCCAUAUAUUUUAUUUUAUUUGUUUCAUUUUAACGAGAGCAUAUUCAUCAGCACCAUAGUACGAAGUAUUUAUGCUUUAGACAAUGUUUAAGUGCUUAGACAAACCUUUCUCUACUCAAUUCAGGUGAGAAGGAAACUCGUGGAAGACUGGCUUCCUGUUUUGGUUGUUUGCAAAGAUUUUUCACCCGUUAGCAACAAAUCGUUAUAUCUAGAGCUGGAAGAAACAUUUCUGCGAAUUAUCUCCACUCUGCCCAUGUCAGAUGCUCAAGAAUUGCUGCAAAAGUGCCUCAGUUUUUCGACCCGAAAUGUUGAAGAUUGUCCUCAUUUGGUGACAGCGUUCAACACCUGGUUCCGGCGUGCAGCUCAUCCCUUCAAACUAGAUUCUGUCUGUGAUCAAUCAGAUGUCUGAUCUCCUGACCUUUGUUGGCUGGCUUGUCAAAUACUGUGCAGAUUGUAUAUACUAUGUUCAGAAAGUUGAAGCUUAACAUUGUACAGAUGACUGUAACCAAGAUAGUUAGACCUUAUCCUGUGGUCAGUGGUUGUCGCCUUGUUGGUGUGGCUACCAAGUUCCUUGGAAUGCAAUAUUUUAGUUGCAUGUAUUUCUCAGAUGUUGAAAUGGUGCUUAGCAAGUUUUAGGUCAAAAUGAAAAUACAAGCUUUGGUUCUCUUAAGGAUAAAUCCAUUUCUCGACUUAAACUUUUGACAUUUUAUGAAUAGUUCAUUCCACCGAAAGGUUUCAAAUUUAUCAAGUUCACAAUGUGAAAUGAAGAGCCUUUUGUUUUUAUGAAUGAAGUUUAUAGAUUUUAAUAAUUUGUUGAUGAAUUAAACCUAGUAGUUAAGUUUAAAACCUUGUCAACCAUUAGCACUUUCUGUUGUUUCUAACAUACACCUCCACUUUCGGAAGUUAGCUUCUAAUCAUUUUGCCUUACAAUAGUUAACUUUUAGACAAUUUUAUAUCGUCUUAAAAUACAUUCUUUAAAAGAUGAGAUUGUUGCAAAAAACUAUAAAGUUAACUAUAAAGUUUGUUACAAAAAACGGGUGUAAGGUGGGACGUUCGUAUCUGCAUAUAGCCAAUCAACAUGCUUAUUUUAUGAAGAUUGGUCACUCUACUUAAAUCCAGCUCAAGCGUGGAAAAAAUAUCUUACCAUUAUCGAAUAACGAAAAUGAAAGGCAAAUGUUACCUGAAAUAGUUAGUUUUUUUUUUUUUUUUUUUAAUAAUAAAGGAUCAUAUAUUUAAUAAUAAAUUUAUUAAUUUUUUUUUGGUCAAAUAGACUAGUGGCUAGAACUCACAAUUAAAAAGUAGGGUGUCCGGGGUUCGAACCCCGGCCCUUGCAUAUAACAUGCAAUAUCCCUAUUAACUGAGUUAAACUCACGGGGAUUUUAUUAAUUUUAAAAAAAUUAAAUAAUAGUCGGAGAGAUCGGUAGUAGCGGUGUUUGGAUGAUUGUGUCAAAUUUAAUCUUGUUAGCUAAACUGAAAUUCAAAUCUAACUUAUUUAUAUUUAAAUAUACUACUAUAAAAAUUAUCACAAAUUGUAGUUUGUGACCAAAUUGAAGUUUAAGAGAAAAAAAACAAAUUUUAAAACUUCUGAUCAUGCAUCCAUCUUAACUUUUACUCCAAAAAAAAAAAAAAAAUCAUCUAAACUUGUCAAGAAGAAAAUGCAAAAACCAAUUUAUUUUCUUUCCAUCUUUUUUAAGAUUGUAGUUGUGGAUACAUGCCACCCCCCACCACAAAUGUGAAAAAGAACCCUGCUUUUUUGGACAACCCUUUCUUCUUUUAACCAUAUAUCCCAAACACACACAUGGAUGAUAAUAUCUCCUUUUCCUUUUUCUUCUUAAGGUGUAAAGGUAUGAGUGCAAGUUUAAGAAAUUAAAAGAUGAUGUAAUAAAUGAUACAUUUGUCCGAGAAAAGCCAUAGCAACUGAGAAAAUUAUUAUGGAACUCCUUACUUUAUAAAUGUGGAUAAUUUAUGAUCACAAGGAAGAUCAAAAUUAAACAAAUUUUCUAGUUUCUACCAUACAAGGGAUGUGUGUGUGUGUGUGUGUGUGUGUGUGUAGGUACUAAAGUAAAAAUAUGAUGUAAAUGAAACAUCUUUUUGUUUGAGAAAAGCCAAAGAAACUGAGAAAAUCAUGGAGACUAAUGGUAACUUCCGAUUACUGCAAAAAUCAAGACUAAACCACAUUGAAUCAUGUUAUUACCACCUCAAUAAGUAGGGGAAUAUAAUCAAAAACUUCUUCAUGCUUCACUCAACAUCAUAACUAGUAGAUAGUGUCACAAAAAAUAAACUAUAUUACAUACAGUAAACAAGCCAAAACUAUAUAAUAUAUAUCCUUUGCACUCGAUGAACAAGACAUUAACAUGUUGUCUUUAGGCCAAGAUAAAGAUGGCCAAACUAAGGUUAGCUGUUUUUGGAUCAAGAGGGAGAUAAUAGACAAAAGAAGAGAGCUUGAGUAACUUAGAAUAGCCGUCUUCUGAAUUGGCCGGUGGCACCUUGGUAUGAUUUAACGAGUAUGCCGACUCCAAUGCCGAUUCCAAGACAAACGCUAAGUCCAAUACCAACACCAACCCUAACACCGGCAUUAAACCAUGAAAGUUCUCCAUCUUCGCCGUCAGCGUAUGCUGUUCUUGUGUAUAGGCCGUGAUAAUCCUCAUCAUCAUGUUUGUCAUACAUGUAAUCUGGAGCCUGCAGAAUUUGCAUAUAAAUAUUAAGAAGGGAUUAUCUUUAACAGAAAUGAUAACGUGACACAAAAUAUGUGACACAAUACGACACCAUACAUGCAUUAUACGGUUGCUUAAUACUUUCUUUCUUUUUUUAUUUUUUUUUCCUUCUCUCUCCCUUGCCUGUAACCCCCAUCUCCAUCAACUACAAAUACAGAACCCUGUUUUUUUUGUCUUUCUUUCUUUCGUGUUAGAGAAGAUGAGGAGGAUGGUGGUUAUGAUGGAGGGUGCGGUGAGGACGACGGUGGUUGUGACUGACAAGGACGGCGGCGGUGGCGGUUAGAACGAAGGGUGUGGUGGUGAAAAUACACGGCGACAGCACUUGCAGGGACAGAAGGAGAGGUUGUCGAGGAAGAGAAGGAGAAAGGCAGAGAAAAGGGAAAGAAGGGGGUAGAAUUAUCAAAUUACCCUUCUAGUUCACACCAAAAUUACUGUUUUACCCAUGGUGUUGUAUUUGUGUCUAAAAUUGUGUGUCUACUUGUCAUUUCUGUUAUCUAUAAUUUGUUGCGAAAAGGGAUUCUUCUUAAAAAUUCCAACUGGUUUGGUUAAAAAUAUAAUUUUUUCAAAUAUUGUCAAGGAAACUAAUUUCAUCACUCAUUGGGGGAGUGUGACGUUAAAUUUGCAGCAUGUGUGUGCUUGAGAGGGGGGCAGCUAUUUCUCAAACACAAUACAGAAUUGAGCAAAAAAAUUCUAGUUUGCAGAAAAAGAGCAAAGGUAGUUUGCAGUUAUAUUAUAGUUUUAUUACGUUCCAUCUCCUACUAGGUUGUGACAUCGGUUAGAUACCAAUGCUUAUAUUUGUUAAACCAUCUCAUGUUUCAAAUGACUCAAUAAAAUUGCAGAGCCAAUUAAAACAAAGCUAGACCUGUGUUGUCAAUCGCACAUCGCAGAAAAUAAUAGUUUGAUCAAAUUCCACUAAACUACAAUGCCGCAGCGUCACUGUUUAAGAACACUUUGUAUUGAAUAGUGUUCAAAUCCCCCAACGGCAUAGUGCUAUAGUGCCUCAAUUUGACAGCACCGAGUCAGACAUGGAAAUUCAAGCAUAAAGUUAACUAGGAUGGUACACUGCCAUAGUUAAAGAGGAUAAUUUAAAUAAGCACAUGAAAAAACAUUAUUCGACGAACACAAAUUACCUGCAAAGCAAGCACAGAAGAAGGACCUUUCCCAUUUUCAUUUGCAUCAUUCUCUGGAAUUGCAUUCAAUGCCGGCUUCCUUGUAUGUCUUUUUUGAGAACUAAGAUGCAAAGUCUUUGUUAAGAUAAUCGGAGUACCAGAGAACGACCCGGCAAUGUAGACCUCAAUUGUUGGAAGAGUAGAGUCCGGCAACAACAAUUGCUUCUCCUUAAAGAACUUUGUGCCUGGAAUUAUAUUCGACUCACACUUCAUGCUCCAACUUUGUCCAUUAGAAUUUGAUUCUCUAACAACACCAUUGCUGUUACAUAAUUCUAAAGUACCAAAAAGAAGAAGCUUGUCUUUAUCAAACACCUCAAACUUCACACUACCACUCAUCCUUAUACUAUCGGUGCUUACAAAUGUAACUUCUUCCGAUUUUCUAUCCACCCUAUCCCUUUUGAGAAGGGUUGAAAUCCCAUCAGAGUAUAAACCACUACGAACGCCGUUAACUUCAAGAAGGGUAUCGGGAUUUAAAGGAACAUGGUUAAGUGUGAGAAUCUCAGGAGUGGAAUUAUCAAGCUCACACUUGCAAACCCUUACAUAAAACACCCUUAUGUCUAACCACGGUAACGAACCCUUUAUCGAGGGUUGAUAAGAGUGUGUGUGCUUAGCAAUAGAGUAUCCAUUUUCACUUGGUCCAUUUCCAUUAACCUUAUACGAAUUCUCCAUCGCGAGACAGUUCUACUUUCUUUCUCAUUCAAAUUCAUUCAUUUCAAUUGUACCAUUGACUUGUACCAACACUAAUCCACUGCAACAACAAAGUUAACUAAUUCAGCUCAAUUUACAGAAGAAAAUCAAAAAGGUUGAAGGAGAUUAAAUUAAAUCUAACAAAAGAAAAUAAUUUCACCAACAUAAGAGCACAAAUAGAUCUAUGAAUGAAAAAAAGUAAAAGAAUAACAGAUAAAUAAGUAAAAAUUAAGAAACUAAGUAAAGCUCACAGAUACAAUAAAACAAGAUAAGUUCUACUUUCUGAGGAGAAAGAAACUAACCUUACUCAAUCAAAUUAAAAAAAAAAAAAAAAAAUACAAACAAGAAAUAGGAUUGAAUCUUCAAUAAUCCAAAAUGAAAUUCAAGAUGAAUUUGCAAAUGUAAGAAUUAAAGAAAAAAAAUGGAUAAUAAAGUUAUGAGUAGAAAAUGAAACAAUUACCAGAGCUGAAAAAGAGACAAAAAGAGGAUAAGAUGAAUCUAGAAACUCUUCCAACAUAACAUCAACUAUUCGGUGGCUAAAUCUGAUAAAUACAAUUAAUUUUCAUUGAAGAGAAAUUCACAUCAAAGAAAAAAAUUGAAAUUCACAAAGAAAAUGAAUCUGCUUUCUAAUCUAUAGAUUUAGACAAAAAAACUAGCCGGCGAAACGCGACACAUGCAAACAACGUGAUUAACAACACGACAAAAACCGUCACUAACAUUAACAAAUGCAAAAUUCAACUCAACAACAUGAAAUGAAAAUACAUUAUUUAUAAGCACUCACCACAAAAUAUCUUGUGCCAAAAUUGAAUUUUGUUAAUUGUUAUGUGGAAAUAACAAUGAAAGUAAACAAAAUAAAGCUUUUUGAGUCAGAACCAGAAUCUAUUAAAGCUUAGAGAACAAAUCUUGAAAUCUUGGGAUGAAUCAAAACAAAGGUUGUUAUCGGUUAUGUUGAGGUGGUAAGAGAAGAUGUGGAUAUUGUUUAAUUUUAAUGGAAGAUGUGGGUCCCUUUGAAUCUGAUAUUAUUCUUAAGAUCUUAUCCACGAGAAAGAAAAAGAGAGGAAAGUUUUGUGUGUGAAUUAAUUACAGGAAGAAAAGGAGGAGAGUGUGAAAUUGUUGGUUGAAUUGAAAACUGAAAUGUUUUCUGUUUGCUGUAUAAGGGGAUCGAUUACUUGCAAGGAUGGAAUUCAUAAGCCCCAAAAGAUGUGCAUCAUAUAUGUGUGACUUUUUUUAAAAUUUUAUUUUAUUAAGUAACUAAUUGAUUAUUAAUGAUGACACACUCUGUCCUAUCUGUUCCAUGAAAUAAAAUUGUACGAAUGUCGUAAGUUUCUAAUUUAUAAUAGUUUUAAUCAAAAUAUCUUAAAUCUCUAAAAACAUUAAAAUAUUUUUAAAAGAUGUUUAAAUAUAUUUGUCAAAGUCAAAAUAUAGAUAGAUUUAGUUUCUCAUGAGCAUAACUAACUUGGUAAAAACAUCAUAUCAUAUGUCCAAAAUUUCACAUUUAGUAGGUUAUAUAUAAAUUUCGCAUUUAGUGUCUCGUUUAUGUUACUUACAAUUUUAAUCAUAAUAAAAUAUGAGAAUUUGGAGACUAACACCAGGCAUAGCAGAUGAAAAAACCAACACAAGGGUACUUGUCAUGUAGUACAAUUGAUGCAGCUAUCUAUGGACCUCAAGGAAAAUAUGGAGCAAGCUUAUGCAUUAGAGUUGAAGAAGAAGGGUCAUUGGCUGCAAAGACUUGUUGUGCAGCAGGUAUUCCUUUAGCAAAGGAAGCUAGAGUAAUACUUAGAGGACAAUAUGGGACUGGAGUUUGAAUCCAUGAUUUUAAAAUGUAGAGACUAUAUUAAUGUAAAACCCAGCUGGAGGGUUAAUUUUAUAAAGAGAGACGCGAGUGAAUUAGUGUGGAUCAUUUCCAUUUCAAUCAAAAAGAUAAUUCUAGCACAGCUCAUAACCAAAUAUGCCAAAUAGAUAUCUUUAUUUUUCCCAAAGGUUCCUCGUAGUAACUUAUGACAUCCGGGGUUAAACAAGGUUAGGCAUUGUUUUCAAGCAUAUAAAUAUCUAGAAUUCAUAAGACUAAGAUGAAAAGUGAAUCAUAAAUUUGAGAAUAAUGAUUUUUCUUAUUUCACAAUGUUGAGAAAAUUGAUGGGAGGUUUACAUUACUAAGAGCAACAAUAGUUUUUAGACGAGUUUGUGAUACCGAAUGAUAGCAAUCCAAAUAAUGUAAUGUGGCAGCCAUAACGGAAAUAGGCCAAUUUAAACAUGUUAACCAACAUUAACUCUAAUGCAACCCAGCAAGGAUUGAAAUUAUUGAAUUCUUUAGUCUUUGUCACCGGGGAACUGCAAAGUCUAGUACACACCAACGAAAAAUAUGGAUUACAAUCAGCAAGAGGAAGUAAAAUCGGGAGGAAUUAAGUAUAAGAACUCAAAUUAAUCUUUCCAUCAAUUAUAAACACCAAAAAGGAACUUAAGAUUUAUUAGAACUUAAGUAAAUCUAUAUGACAACAGAAUUGACUUGUUAGAACUUAGACUUCAGCACUGAAAAUUUGAGGGUGAUUAUCAAGCAAGUUGGUCAUAUACUUUCAAGAAAAUAAGGAAAUGAAUCAUACAAGUUUACAGUUGGCGCACAAUACAGUGACCAAAAUUUCAACUGUGAAGUUAUUUUUCCUCCUAAGGUGAGACAGAAAAAAAAAAAAAAAAACAGUUUUUUCAUUUUUUUUUUUUCUCUUUUUCAUUCCUCAUUCAUCUUGAAUGGAUCCAGCAAGCCUGUCACAAUGUUUUUUCAAGUCCUAUACAACAAAGUAAAAGAAGAUAUCAGGAUGAGCAUAAAGAAGAAAAAGGUAAUUACUAAUUACCAUAUCAGUUGCCCACCUGAAAGUGAUAUUACUACAAUAGAGAAAUUCGGUACCUUAGUAUUUUUAGUCUUGACACCAGUAAAUAAAAUAACCUAGACUAUUGAAUCCCUACAAUUAUAAUGAUUAACGCCGACAAAUAAUUGGAAUGUAGAAUAUUCAGAACGACAAGACUCCGUAUUCCAGUGUGUACCAUAUUAUGAGUUAAGGUUGAUAUACAAUUUGAUUCUCUGAGUGACAACUUCUGUUGCAUUUGGUGUUUGAAAAAGUGCGUUUAUACAUGUUGGUCCUUAAGGUGACAAAUAAUGCAUUCAUCAAGUUGUUCUUAGUGCAAGAUAACCGAAAUGAUAUUGUUAAAGUGACGAAUAAUCUCCAUUCAUCAAGCUGUUCUUAGUGCAAGAUAACCAAAAUGCUAAUGUGGAAUAUUAACUACACGUGUAACACUAUUUGUCUACUAGAUUGCUUACAUCCAAUCCCAAAACAACAUUGCUGAAAAAGAUUGAAAUUUUCUCAUUUUGUCUCCCAUAUAAACUUCUAGGAUUUGGGUAAACUCCCAAAUCUCUCCAAACAAAGGAUAAUACCAUUGAGGGAUUCAUGAAGGCAAUCUAGUUGGCUCUGGGUACAUAGCAAUCCACAUCCAUUUUUAUUGAGUUGUCACUUUUGGACACCAAUUAGUACAGACGCACACUUUGAAGCACCAAAGCAAUAGAAACUAUCACGUUCAAGAAUCAAAUUUGAAUUACUAAAAUUUUCAUAACAAAUAUGGCAAUCUCAAAGUUUUAUAGGAACUAAACACCCUGUAAGAAUGCCAAUGAAGCAACAUUCCCCGCGACCAGAAAUUAGUUCCUAGAUGGAAUAAAUUUUGUGGUAGAAAGACUAACCUAAAUUAUCAGCACUAACCUAAAUAAUGGAUUUUGAAAAUUCAAGAAAAAAUGGAACAGACAAUGUUCACAUAUGCUAAAGAAGAGAGCGUUUCACCAACUGAGGUGAGUUAUCUUAAUUCUAAAGAAAUAAGGUGUGUGCUCUUGAUUAAUUUAAUGACUCUUAAUAAUUGUUCAUGGUGGUCCACCUGUGAGGGACUUAAUUGAACCCUCACCCUAGAACCCACCUAGAUAUACAUAAAAAAAUUAAAACAUACACAUAAAAGUGGAGACGGAAAAAUGGACAAACAGAGUGUUUCACCAAAUGCUAAAGUUUCACCUCGCUAUCUUAAUUCUACACCAUCCCUUAACUCAUCAUAUCUAUCUAAUGAAGCUCAUACUCGUCUGAUGCAUAUUUCCCCGAAUCAAAAGACUACCCCUCUCAUCUCUAAUAUGUAAUCAAUAACAUCUAAAACAGCUUAUGAAGUUAUGACCGAUCAAUCACAAAAUAAAGUGCACCAUAUAGAAAAAGUUUUCAAGGGACUUCGACUUAAUCAUCGUCAAUAAUAAUUGUAAAACCUAGACAACCAAUUACUGAAACAGACAUGACAAUACAUAAUCUUUAAAUUAUGUAAACUAAUAAUUCAAGCCCAUAAACCUCAUGCAUAAUACACAUGUUUACUUUUAAUAAUCAAACAGAAUAAUAACUAUAAUCAUCACGUAAAUGCAAGAAAAAUUAACAAUGAAUAAAAAAGAACCUAAUAAGAAUCAGUACCUUGUGAAAGCAUGCUCCAGCAAGUUGAAUUGGAAGCAAUAUUAGAAGUGAGUCUAGCAUCAGCAAUGGCGGUAUGAAGAGGCAUCAAUGAUUCAACACUUCCAACAACCGAUAAAAUCCUUUAAAAACUAACACGUUGUUAACACUACAAAAAUUCAUUUCCAAAAUCACAGCUGAAAAAUGCGUUGUUCUACCUACCUUGAAACACGAGGAGCUUGAGAAGAAAACAGAAGCGGAAUGGAAGGUUUUUGAGCGAAGGUUCUAGAACGAUUCGCGAAGGAAGUGGAAGCCACUCUCGCCGCUGAUUUACAGAACGAAGAAGCCAUUGCUGAAGAAGGUUACUGAUUCCGCUAGUGCCUGGCUUGAACCCUAAACUCAACUGUUAUUGGGCUUGCUCAAUUUAUCACACACUUUUUUUAAGAUUGCUUUUUAGGCCUCCCAAUAUCUGUUUAGGCCCCCUAAUAAUACAAAAUUAACUUUUAUACUUUCCACAUUUUACAGCUCCGGAAAUGUAUCUACCGGAUGCACAAUUUCGAAUUUGCACUUUUAACACGUACGGUAGUUAGAGUCCGGAUGCACAUUUCACAUUUUCUUUUUUAACAUUAUUACAUACUUGUUUUUUUUUUUUUGCUGACAUUGCUAGAUUACUACAUAAUUGUGUUAGUAAAGUAUCAUCACCAACAAUCGUUCUAUCUAUCAGCAUUCCAACUCAAAGUUCUCCAGAAUAACUAUCAAAAAAGAAAUAUGGGUAUUAUUGAGUACAAAUACUUUUUUAUAUGUAUUCGUAGCUAUCAAAUACUACUAGAUAGCUGAAGUGUCUUUUUAUCACAUAUUAAUAUUCCCCAUUAUUUUUCAAAGUUAUAACCAUAGUUAAAUUAUUACUCUACUAUUUAACUCUAGAAUUAAAUUGCGAGGUACGUGACCAACUAUGGGGUAUGUAAAAAGCAAUCACAAUACUAUGGGCUGGCCAAAACCAAAUAUAAGCAUUUUAUUCACCACCGUGUCACUGUUUGUUGUGGGUAUUGUGGUUUUAGUUAGAGUAUCCGGUUGCGAAGAAAAACGUUCAGACGCAGUACUUUCCACUUAUCUUCACCUUUCAGUUCGCCGUCGCCGUUCUAUUGUGCGGCGGUUCUUAGGUUUGAGAAUGGCAGAAGAAGCAGUUCUUGGUUACCUGCAAAACAACGAUGAGAUUAAUGAUUCAGGUGAAUUUGCAGCUGAACGUGGCAUUGACCACAACGAAAUCGUCAAUGUCGUCAAGAGUCUUCACGGUUUCAGAUACGUCGAUGCUGUGGUAAGUAACUUUUUUCAUAUAUCCAAAAUUAAAUUGGUUAUAUGCAUGUAAUAAAAUGUAAAUCGUUUGUGACAAAUUUGGUUUGUUAUGAUGUGGAUAUAGGAUAUUAAGAGGGAGACAUGGGUGUUAACUGAUGAAGGAAACACUUAUGCUACUUUGGGAUCCCCCGAAUUUCAACUAAUUUUGGCUAUUCCGCCCGAAGGUAUCUCCAGAGAUGAACUUCAGGUAGCUUUUCUGUUUUUUUUAUAUCAUUUUCUAAUUUACGCCCCUUUUCUGCAACUGAAGCUUCAGAUUAAAUGUAUGUGUUUGGAUGAAUAGCGGCUAAAGCGGCACUAUAACUCUAUUGCAUAACAUAAAUUGAACAAAAUGCUAUUAGCAAUACUCUAUUUAGUAGUACAAAAUAUUGUGAACUAGCGGUGAUAGUGGAAAGAAACGAAUAUCUUUUGUGAUUCGCAAUUGACAGCACUUACAAUUAGUCACUUUAAUUUUCUCCAAGUUAAUAAUGGUGUAUAUGUGUUAGAGUCAGUACACCUAUAGUAGAAAAGAUGGUAGAAAAUAGACUUAGGUGGUUUGGGCACUUAGAGAGAAGACAUGUGGGUAUUGUAGUAAGGAGAGUAGAUCGGAUGGAGGGGAGUCAAAUCACUAGAGGUAGGGGAAGACCUAGAAAAACUAUAAGAGAAACUGUUAUGAAGGAUCUAGAGAUUAAUGAGUUGGUGGAACCCACUUGGGUUUGCCUGGUGGCAUUGUCUUGGGGACCUUGGAGCUCCUCCACACCACAAGAUCUCAUGUUCGAUUCUCCCCAGUGCCAAUUUAGGUGGGCUAGUUUAGCUUCUUCAAAACAAAACAAAAAUUGGUGAAAGACAUGGUUUUUGAAAGAACACUAUGUUGUCGUUUGAUUCAUGUAAUCAGCCCCACUUAGUGGGAUAAGGCUUGGUUGUUGUUGUGUUGUGUUAGAGUUAGUAUUGUAUCUGGUGUACGUGCUUGUGUGCUUCAUAGGUGAAAUUGAAUCUAAUUGUUUUUUAUUGUUGCAGAAAAAGCUGGGUCCUUCAGUCUUCAAGAUAGCUUGUGCACAGGCUGCUAAGAAUAAAUGGGUGGAGAUGGGAAAACAACUCAUAUCUAGGAAGGUAUGUUAAUGAUUCUAAAUCGACUGCUUUUGGGAUUUUAUUUGAUGCACAUUUGCAUGUAAUGCAACAAUAUAAUUGUCCUGUAUCUUUGUAUUGUCAAAAUAAAAAUUAAAGUUGUGUCUUGAUGUUCAGUUUAGUUUGUUCUUUGAGAUGAGAAUUACUUCAUGGUUAUGAGAUACUUGUCGUAAACCAAUUUCUGGUUGCAGGUCCAAGAUGUGGAAGAUAGAGUCAAAAAUCUGCUUCUUCAAAUACAACAGGGGCAGGUUUGUACUGCUAGCUUGAAUACUUUUGUUAGUGAAUUUCAUAAUUGUGUUGAAACUUGAGAGGGUAACGGGAGAAAGAGCUGGAAGUUCUUUUUUCUUUCCUUGGGAAGGGGGUUGUCAAUGCUAAUGUUCUAUUAAAAUUGAGGGGGUUACAUGCUGAGAUAUAGUCAACUUUGUCAAUUUCUAAAUCAGAUAAUAAUAGAUAGUGGCAAUGUGAAAUAUUAUGUAUUUGAAGAGGAGGCUUGAUGGUUUCUAUUCGUGCUUGUUUGGAAUCUGAUAUUAAUCUGUCAUUUCAUCCCUAUAUACAGUAGGAAAUUGCUAGGUCACUUCCAUUCUUAUACUUCAUAAUUGUUUGAUACACACACCCGUUUGGUAACAUGUACUUGUUGAUUGUGGCUGACGGCAGUGCAGUCUCGUUUUUUUUUAUCAAAUUAUCAACCUUCUUUGAAAUCCAUGUUUUAGAGAUAAGCAUAUAGGCCAGGUCUGUACUCUUUGGUUUAUUAUAAUACGUUGGAGAAAGUGGCAAGUUUUGUGCGGAGCAUCAGAUUCAACUAAAUAUGUGAAAUAUGUAUAGGAAGUUAGAAGGAUGUAUUUGAGACCAUUCAUUCUCUUUAGUUAUGACUUAUGAGGUGUGCCUGGACUGCACUCUAUUUCAUUGGUGAGUGGUAAUGGAGACAAAUAAUAUGUGAGACAAGUAUAGGAAGUUGGAAGGAUGUAUUUGAGACCUUUCAUUCUCUUUAGUUAUGACUUAUGAGGUGUGCCUGGACUGCACUCUAUUUCAUGGGUGAGUGGUGAUGGAAACAAAUUUAUGUUUGCCUCUAUUUGCUUGGGGAAAUUUUCGUAUUGACAUUUUUGUUUCCUCCUUAUGUUAAUUAUAUACGGAUUAUCGUCACAUUUUUUUUAUCAGUUUUUCCUGUGAGUUCUGCAUAUCUCAUUAGAAAUUUUACCACAUAUUGCAAAUGCAGGGCAUUGGUUCAGAUGAUAUCAAAGCACUCAAAGCUAGAAAGCUUAUUGUUCCACAGUAAUAAUCAUUUCAUUUGAUUGUUCUUCAGAGUUUUGUUGAUAUUAUGAAUAUCUGUAGUGACUUGACUGCUCUUUCAUUAUUGAAAUUCUUAAUUAAUAUCUUAUAAUCUAGGACAUGGAAGGGUUACUCUGUGAAAAAGGGUCCUAACUAUGCUCCAAAAAGAAAGAAGGUUGUCACUGAUUUAACUCGAGAUAACUUUCAGAGGUAAUUUUUUUUCUUAAACUGAAUGUAGAUUUGGGGUGGCGGAUUUGCAUCAUAUCUUAUGAACUCUGACUAUACUGUAUUACUUUGUUGCAGUGGGGAGUGGAAGGAAAUAGAGUUCAAAGAGUACAACUACACUGCUAAAGGUCAGCCUCUUGAAGGUGGCAGUCUUCAUCCACUAUUAAAGGCAAGAAGAUAUUUCCCUUGUUCAUCCUUCCUCCUUUCCCCAAUCUCCUUUUGAUUAACGGAAUAUCAAAACUACACACACACAAACACACACAUUACAGGAACUUUAUGGACAAAAGGAAAAUUCAUAUUCUGGAAAACAUACGCAAAAGCAUCGUCUGUUUUUACAUAUUUAAGCUUGUAGCUUGAUACGGAAUGCAUUUAUCAUACUUUUGAUUUACAUCAAUAAAAAUUAUACGAUAUGUAGUCUAUCCUAUAUGUAUACUAUUCGAUAUGUUUAGGAAAUUAUGUGUUUUUUGGUAGUUUCUAUAUGUGGUCUGUGCUAUAUGUAUAAAUAUAUUAUGAUUUUAAUUAUGGUGAUGCCUGUAUCCAAAAAAAAAAAUGCAUCAACAUAUGUCAUGCUUUGUUUCCAAAAAAAUACAUCAACAUUCGCGAACAAAACAACCUACAUAAAACUUUUUCAAACCUGUAUGAUGUGAACUUAUGAUUUAACUGUGUUGUUUCAAAAAUUUGUGUUCUGACAGUGAGAUUAUGUAAUUUGAUCAAUUCAGUUGACCUUACCAAAAAAGUGAACAUCAAAUAAAACAUAUUUAAUAAAUUAUGGUGAUAAAUGACAGUGAGAUUAUGCUUUUAUCCCGAACAUAUUUGAUCAUUGUGUGUGUAUUUAAUAGAUCUGGACAUUUUACAUUUUUAGGUACGGGCUCAAAUAAAACAGAUUUUCCACUGUAUGGGGUGAGUCUUAUAUUUUUCAUGUGGAAGCCUGAUGUCUAUUGCGGUAAUCAAUUAUUUCGACCUUUGAGAUUGACAUUUUGUAAUGGUUAUCUAAUGCUGCAGGUUUGAGGAGAUGCCCACAAAUAAUUAUGUUGAAAGCAGGUAAUGGUUGUUUUGUUUCCGUAUUUAUACCUUUCUAGUGUUAGUGUGUGUGUCAGUGUGUGUGUGUGUGUGUGUGUGUGUUUCUUUUUUUGGUCUACUAUAGUGGUAAUGAGGUUUGAACCUUUGAUUUCAUAUAAACCAUCCAAACCCCUCACCACUAGUCCAAUCCUAGUGGCUUUCCUAAUCUAUGAUGUGCACACAAAAUGUAUAAAGAACAAUAAAUUUAAUAUAAUGUAUUAGAUGUAAAGAAUAAUAAUGGAAGAAAAAAAAGACUUUCAAAGUUCCAACAUAAAACUUUGUAACCCUCCUCCUGACCACGGUAAAUAUAUCAAACUCGGCACUUUUUAAGGAGGCCUUCAAGCAAGCAGUUGAAAAAUAAAAUGUUUGGAAGUUAUUACAGCCUGACCUUUAAUAUAUCCUUAGUAUAACUGAUAGUCAAAUAAAUCCCAAACUUUUGGAUAGGCUUGGUAGUUGCAGGCUUGCAGCCCUUAAUUAUAAAAGCCGAAUCCAAAAUCUUGGUGCACUGAAUUGGUAUACUACAAUCUGUGUUUCAGCGGGUAUAGGAUGAGGUUAUGGAAUAAUUAUGGAAUUUCCAAAAUCUUUGAUUUGAAUGAUGGCAAAGUGACAAUGAAGCAAUUUUUAUAUUUUUGAUUGAGAACGCCCGUGUUCUUCGAAAGGUUCCUUCAGUAGUGACUGUUAUAUAUGCAUCAGAAGAACACCGUGUUUUAUAGUAACUCUUAUAUGAAUUACAUGAAUCAUACUGUUAAUCUCCAUGAUUCAUUGCUUCUUGCUUGUUUAUGUUAAUUUGGGGCUGGAUUUUAUCUUAAAAAAUAUUGAAAUUUAACAGAUUACAUACUUUGUGUGUAGUAUGGUAUAGUGUGUAGCAGCACAUGUCUGUUCUGAUUGUAAACUUUACAUCUUAAUGUUUUAAAUGGCAGUUUCUGGAACUUUGAUUCCUUGUUCCAGCCCCAACAACAUCCUGCUCGUGAUUCACAUGACACAUUCUUUUUGGAAGGUUAGUAAAUCAUUGAUUCUUCAAUGCUACUUGAAUCCUCUUUGCUCCCAUCCUGAGUACAUGUCACACAUAUGCAGCUCCUUCAACAACAAAGAAAUUGCCUGAAGAUUAUGUUCAGCGGGUGAAGCAAAUUCAUGAAUCUGGUGGAUAUGAGUCUAGGGGGUAUGAGCUUGAGCACCCUCAAUACAUUUUCUAACGAGGCUAUUUAUUGAUAAUUCAUAGACAGAUAAGUUUCAAAUUGCUUUCUGAGAGUAACCUUACAAUUUAUUCCUUGGUAGAUAUGCAUAUGACUGGAAAAGAGAGGAAGCAAAUAAAAACCUUCUGCGGACCCACACAACUGCUGUUUCUUCCCGGAUGCUUUACCAGCUGGCACAGGUUUGUAUGUUCUGAAUUUGUUGUAUCAUGUUUUUGUGAAUGUGUUUGAUUGUGUUGUGUUUGGGGCCGUUGAGCAUCCUAUUAUCUUCAUUUUUCUUUCAGAUUUUAGACUGAAAUUUUUAAGUUAUAUGUUUAUAAUUUUAAGAGUAAUGCUAGCAACACUCUCUUUUGAACACCCUCUCUAAUACUCACUCACUUAUUGGUUUAAAUCAUUAUGGGUCUACACUUUGAAUAUUGAACCCACACAAAAUGGUGGGUCAUACAUUGACUUCAUCCAAUAAAAGAGUGUUAGAGUGUUGAAAAGUGAGUGUUGCUAGCAUUCCUCUAAUUUUAAAGGUAGAUCAUAGCUAUUUUACAAAGUACUUCUGUAUUCUGGCUUUGCCUUUUCCCUGCAUCCACAGGGAUAAUAGAUUAUACUUUCUUAGUUAUUGCUCCUCAUUAAUGCUUGCAUCAUUUUUUCUGUGUGCCAUUAUAAUUUUGCAGAAACCAUUUUCUCCAAAAAAAUAUUUCUCUAUAGAUCGUGUAUUCCGAAAUGAAGCAGUGGACCGUACACAUCUUGCUGAGUUCCAUCAGAUAGAAGGUACGUGAGCUAUUAAGUUACUGGGCUCAGUGUUUUAUUUCUUAAAUCGUUCAUCUUUUUACAAACGAAAACAAUCCACCUUUGAUGGUCCAGUUAUGAUUUUUUUUUUCCACGUCAUAUUAUAGAGGAGGUGGGGGAUUACUCAAAUAUAUUUUUGCCGCGUCACUUUUUUGGUUCGAUGUACUGGGGGAUUAAUCUUAUAACUAAUUUUUUUGAUGCCCGUGAUUUUCCAUUUCAAUUCAGGCCUUGUAUGUGAUCGAGGACUCACUCUCUGUGACUUAAUAGGAGUUCUACAUGAUUUCUUCUCACGCUUAGGUAAUGAUGCUCUCUUGCAACAAAAAACUUUGUAUGAGUUAAAUGUUGAAUGUAGGUUAAAUGAUUAUUAAAGACAAGUUUUAGUAGUACAUUUAUUUUGUUACUAAUCUUUUGAUGAAAAUUUCUAUAUUGAGUUCAGGCAUGACCAAGCUGAAAUUCAAACCUGCUUACAAUCCAUACACAGAACCUAGCAUGGAGAUUUUCAGGUGAGACUCCCUGUAAUGAUUAUUUGGCUUGUCGUUAUCUUGAUAAUUGAUAUCCCAAGAGAUUACAUGUUAAUCACGUGCUCGUAUAACAGUUAUCAUGAAGGCUUCAAAAAAUGGGUAGAAGUAGGAAACUCUGGCAUGUUCAGACCUGAAAUGUUGCGGCCGAUGGGACUUCCUGAAGAUGUCCAAGUUAUUGCAUGGGGACUUUCUCUUGAAAGGUGAGAGCAAAACACCGAGAACGCCAUAUAAUCAUUGCCAACAGUAAAAUGAAUUAAUUUAUAAAAUUUAAAUUCUUAAAUAAUUUUCUAAACAAAUCUAGUGAAUGUAUUGGGGAACUACGAUACAACAUGUCGAUGUAUGUCACUGAGUUUAUGUUAACUUGUUAUUUUUCCUAAAAACAGGCCAACAAUGAUAAUGUAUGGGAUAGAUAACAUCAGAGAUCUCUUCGGCCACAAGGUAUUGCUAUGGGAUUUUUAGCUGAAUAGAUCACUGUUUAUUUGUUUUUUUGUCUUUUUAAGGGUGUAAAAUUGAUUGAUGGAUUCUCAUAGUAAUAUAGUAUCCUAAACCAUGUAUUUUCCAUGUUUUUUUGCAGGUGGAUCUUGGACUUAUCAAGAAAAAUUCAAUAUGUCGACUUGGAAUUGAAUGAAGUGGUCCAUUAUGUCUGAUAUAUUUGUUGUCGUUCAUACUUAUUUGUCUCUAAUAUCAAGCAAUACAUGCGGAUUAGUUCGAUUUCUGUUCGAUAAAUUUUGAUUGUGGUAAUAGCAUUUUUCAUUUGGUAGGGAAAUAUUGACAUGGGAAAGUUUCCCCUUUGCAAUUUCUGUUGGUUUGAACAAAUUAUGAUAGUGAAAAGUAACACAUUAUCAGCUGUGUUUUAACCUUUUACCUAUUGAACAAUCCCUUUAUAACAGUGGUGAUAGAAUUUUUUCUCCACGAACUGGUGCUUGGACUUGGUUCCAUAGUCGUUAUCUAUUCCCAUAAAAUAAGUAGACAAGCCUAACACGAUCCACAUAACGAGAAUAUAUCAUCUUUUUGUAUGAAACAAACGUGCAUCUUCUAUUUUCUAUACGCUGAUUGAUAUAAGAAGUUUUCUGUCGCAGCUCAUGGCAACAAAACCAGGCUGCAACUUUCUCCAACCUAUUGUGGAUGAUUUAGUUUGUUUCCCGCUACUUGAGUCCCCAUUUGUCAACUCUAAUAUAUGAACUAUGCUAGCCGCUUUUGCCAAAAUAGUGUUAUUUGAUUUCCUGUUGAGAGUUAAUAAAAGGAUUUCGGGCAAACCAUAAUUUAUCGAACAUUGUGCCAAAAAGAAGGUUCCAAUAUGACCCAUCAUUGCACCUGUUAUCACCGUCCAAACCGUUCAAAUUCAACAUGUUGAGAUGUGACUAAAAAAUGGAUUUUGAGAAAGUGAAGAAUCGUGACACGAUUUGGCAACCAUGUCACGAUUUUUUAGGCAGUGAACAUUGUUUUUAGGGUGUCCAAUCGUGACACGAUUUUGGGAAAACGUGACACGAUUUUCGGCUUGCUGAGCAAGUUUUCAGGAUAAGGUUGGUCAUACCUUGGGUCGUACGCACCAAACGUGUCACAAUUUGGGAAAUCGUGACACGAUUUUGUCCGGAUCUGAACACUAUGUAAGCACUCCAUGACCCAUUUGUUGGGUAAGCUUGGUGAAUCUCAUGGAAACCAAGGGAGGGAACUUUUAGGGUUUUAGAUACUAAAGGUUGAGGGCCUUUGGGUGAGGUUCAAAGCUUCAAGAUGUGAAUCUUGGAGAACCAAAAGAGGGGGCUCUUGUGAAAAGGGUUGGGGCCUUUUGGAGAAGAUUCAUGGGGUUGGGAAACACAUGAGUGGAGAGUCAUUUGUGAGCAACUUGGGUGAGUCUUGUGAAACCAAAAGAGAAGAUCCUUAGUGAAAUCAAAUGCUAAGGGUUGGUUCUCUUUUGGUGGUUAGAUUUUAGAGUUGGGAAACAAUUAGUGUCUUGUUCAUUGGUGAGAUUGGGAAAAUGGGUAGAAAUUAGGGUUGUUCUUUGUGAACUUGUUGAAGCUAAUUUCUUGUAACUCAUUUGUAUCUCUUUGUAAGAACUCAUUAAUAGUGGAUUGGAGAGAUCAAUCUCUCCCCCAGAUUAGGUCAAGUUUGACUGAACUGGGUCAACAAUUUCUUGGUGUUGUUAUCUUUUCUUUACUCUCUUUAUCUUGUUUAUUCCUUGCUUGGAUUGUGGUUUUGCUAUACACUUAAUUAUAGACUAGGUCUAUAUAUUGUUGUUGUUGCUUGUAGUUAACAUUUUUUAUUGUUGAUUGUCAUUGAUACUUGCUCCACGAAUCUAAAUUUCAUUGAUGUAAAGUUUGGAAUUGACCGAGUUCACAACAUAAUAAAAGCCACUUAAACCAAUUCGUCUCCUUGAAGAAAGAGCUUGAAUUGGAUGUUUUAAUUCUAGGGCAUAUGCUAUGUGGUAGCUUGCAAUCUAGCAGUGAUUCUUCCCAUUACUUCCUAGUAAGAAAUAUAAACUGAUGAGGUAUAAUCAUCUAUCAAAUACUUAGUGUGUUCAAACUCAAAUAUGUUUUUUGAUAGCCAUGUUAUUGAUACAAAGUUUCUAUCAGCUUUGUUGAUGAUUAAUCUUAGUGAUCACCUUUAAUAGGGUUUGCCCUAUAACAAACAUAUUUUUUAUCUUUAAGACUCAAACCAGAGACAUUAUUUAAGAGAUCCGAGUCAAGUUCCACUUAGACCAAUGUAAUAUUGGUAUAAAGUAUAAACUAGUCGAACCUUCUAAAGUUAUAAAUAAUGUGGCUUUCAAAAUAGAAUAUUGAGCAAAUUAUACUUACCUUCCAUGAGUUCGAUUAAAAUGUCACUUAUGCCCCCUCUAGUUUGCCGUAGACACUGACCUCGCCCCUAAUUAACAUGUGAAUAUGUCAUUAGGAAAAAAACCUAAACAAUCUCUACAGCCUUUUCUUUUCUCCAUCUCUAAUUUCUCCUCCUUUUUGUUUUAUUGAAGAGUAAUUUCUCCAUCAUUAAUCAAAUUUAGCUCUAAUUCUCAUCUUUUAUACUAUACUUUUCAUCCAAACUUUUGGUAAUGCAGUAACCCUUUUGAACCCUCUAUCAGGAUUUGUGCAAUUGGGAUUCCCCUUCAUAGAUCCUAGCCAUAAAAGUCUUUUUUUUUUUUUUUGUACCAAUGGAUAGUUUCAGAGCCGAAGAUCAUCACCAUGUAAAACGGAUUUGCCUUUAAUUUCAUUUUUAGCCAUGAAAGUCUCAAUUUCAUCUUUUAUUUUUGUCAAUUGGGACUCCCCUUCGUCUAGCCAUAAAAAUACUCUGAAUUGCUGCUUAUGCAAAUUUGUUUUUAACCAAUUUACUAUCUGAGAAACAUUUUCCAAAUUUUAUAUUGAUAUUAGUUUGUCAAGAGUUUCUUUCCUGGUCAUGUUUUCAUGUUUUGAGAUUUUUAUCUGUUGGUAGCAUGAAAUCGUGAAUUACGACCUCUUCUUUGUAUCUUUCAUUUUACAUGCUGCGUUUCAAUGUGCCGUGUUUCAAGGUAAGGUUAGAGAACAGUGCAUUUUGUUAAUUGAUGGCCGUGUUACAAACUAGAGGGGGUGUUUGUGUGUUUGAAGUAAAACUUUGGUGAGGUGAGUGUAAUUUGCCCCAAAAUAUAUUAAAUACAUUGGAAUAAUUCGUAACUGAUUAAAAAAACUUAAUAAGAGAUAGCCAUGUUAUUUAUGGAUUAAAAAUGAUUAAGAAUUAAACUAUCUAUAUAUCUUGCAAAUUAUCUUAGGUCAGCGUAGAUUUGUGAUGCCUUGAGAGUUGAGAAUGAUAUCUUGCACUUGUAGGAGCAGUCUUCCUCAAAUAAUUUCAUUACCACAGAACAUUGUUCCCCCAAAAGAAAGCAACAUGAUGAACUUUGCGUGCUUGAAGAGCUUGUAACAUAUUGCUGUUCACAGAAAUGCUGAUCAAGAUAUAUAAAUUUGAGUGUUGAUCUUUCAGGAGAUAGUUUGAAUUUUAUGCUCAGCCGGUAUAGAUGGCUCAAACAAGAAUGUUAACCGCGAUGAUAUGCCGGACAGAGAUUACUGAAUAGCCCAAGAGUCAAGUCUUCCACAAUUCCUAUCAGGGGAAAAAGUUGUAAAGAUCAUGAGAAAACACAAGCAAAAAGUGAAUUAAGUUCUGCUUAGAUACACCACUUAAUUGAACACUUAUUGCAUAAUUGCUUAUCAUAUAAGUGCUUUAACAAAUGAUAAAAUAAAUUCAAAUUAUUCUCGUAUAAACUGUAUGUUGUUUUCAUUAACAAUACUAAAGAGCAUAUGGACAUGACAUAAGUUGUUUCCACUUUCCAUAAGCUCUCACAAGUGAUUAUGCAAAUAAGCCAAUCCAACAAGCCCUUAAUAAAAGAGGUACUUUGACAAAAAUAAACACGAUAGCAAGUAGUACAACACUACAACUACAACAUGUACAUUUAAAGUGUGUUAUGAGCAGAUACCUUAAACCAUCUUAGACAGUGCAAGAAGUACACGGGUCAGGUCUCCGCAAUUCUAUUCAUUGGCACACUCCACAGUGGCAUGUUUCCAAGCACACUCUUUAGCAAUUGUAUCUUCACAAGUGACCCAGCGGAUGAUAAAUUGCAAGUUUCAUUUUUGUUUAAUAGGACAGAGGAUCUCCUUUUCCUCUACCGGAGUUGUUUCUGCUGCACUAAAUCAGCUGUUACAAAGUCAUUUAACACCCGCCUUAGAGAAGAACAGUUAUGAUUUCAUGACAAUUACUUGUCUGACCAAUGAAGUUAAUACAGUAAGAUUAAUAUGCUGUUUUACUUCUUGAAAAGUCAAUCACGUUCUGUUUUCCACAGAGCCAUCGGUUUUUCUUUUUACGUCUGGGCUGUAGAUUGGGGAUGCUUAGUAUCCUCUUUCAUGACAGUAGAUUGAAGUUUAUGGCGUUUUCUAAUCAUAUUCUUGACCAUGUUGUUAAAUUCUUCAUCUGUGCAAGCUAACAUGCAUUUUAGCUUGACAUUAAUCUGAUUCUCCACCAGAACCUUGUGUCUUGGAAUAAUUCGACCCUCGAGGGAAUAGCUGAAAAACCUGAUAACAGCAAGAGAAUUGCAUAUUUAAAGUUGAAUAUGCAUUGGAAUAAAAAAACAUUAAAAAUUAUGUUAUCUAUGGUCAAAAUAUCAUUGAUACCUCGGAAACUCAAUGGCAUCUUUCAAAGUUCGAACCAUGGUUUUGCGCAAAUAAGUAUACUUAGGACGAAGAACGUCUAUAUUGUAUCUGAGCAGCAUUGGGAAAUCAGCAAUCAUUUCACCCAGUUGCUGAAGACGUAUGCCGAGAGACAAAUAAUACUUUACAUUUCCUUCAAGCUUAUGUACUAUGCUGCAUCCCAAGAGCUCAGGUCCAAGAGCUAUAACCUUUGGAAUAUUUUCUUCAGUGACUCCAGCCUUGGUCAUCAAGAAUAUGACCUAUAUACAACAAGCAAACUCGGCAGAUUAGUUAAUUGAGGCCUCUUGAUCAGACAGUUUAUAAAAUGUGAUCAGAGUGAUAAACUUUGUGGUGAUGUUUCCGAAAAAUAACUUAAUGGUAACAAAUUUUGUAGCGGCAAAGAAAAAAGACAUACCACAGGCCUAAUCUUCUUGUAAAGGCUGUAAGUGAGUAGAGUGGGAAAUUUUACAAGCAUCUUGGCAAUCCCGUCAUUUCGAACCCCUAGGUCCUGAAAAAACUUUACCUUCAUGAUAAAAUAUGUAACAAAAUUGUCAGUAUUUUAUCAUCAGGAAACAUGACAGAAACCAUUGAAAAUUUUAUUUAUGAAUCUACUAGACAUCAACAUUAAACAAUGCAAGCGUCAACUUAGGAGAGAAACAAAUGAAAAAUUUACAUACCUUUGGCACAAUAGUCAUCUCCAAGUCAACACAAAAGACCAUUGGUUUAAUUGUAAGCAUUCUCCUCAUCCCAUCUCGGGUAAUCCCAUAAUAGUACAGAUAUUUAACAAGGGGUUUCCAUUGUUCUUCAAUGCUGCACGCCAUCAAUUGUGGCCGAAAUGCAAGCAGCUUACCAACAUCUUUACUUUCAAGCCCGAAUUCUUUCAAGUAAUCAACCUGAAAUUUACAAUUGUUGCAUCAUACUUUGUUUGUAUAUCAGAAACUAUCAAAGUAUGAGAGAAGACAACAAGGAUAUAUUACAAUAUGACGUUAACCCUAUAAAUUGUAAAAAUUAAUGUACCUUUCGGUUCAUUUCUUCCAAAGUAUAGUGACCGAGAGCUUUAGGAAAAUCAAAAACCAUGGUGCCAAAAUCCUUCGCAUCUAAACCCAUAUCCAGAUAGAACUGCACACGAGUUUUCACCUCUUCCAAGCUAUAAGAUAACAACUUCGGACACCGACUCACAACAUAACCCAUCCAUUCCCUCCUGACUCCAUUAAACUCUAAAUAAUCAACAAUCUCAUCCAACUCCCCGUCACUCCGCAGCAAAACAUUAUCUCCACUCUUUAACAUUGCAUCCCCAAUAAACUCUCCCUUAACGAGCACCGACUUCAACCACUCAACACGGUUCCUUAUAGACUCAAGCUUCCCUCUUGACAUCAAAAUGAGCUUAGCUAUCUGAGGAUACGAUAGAGAAUUAUGCUUCAACCAUCUAGAGAAUUGAAGAAAUCCACAAUCAAAAUACAAAAACUUCAAAAAACUAUCAACAAUACGCAAACAUGGGUUGCCUGCUAUCAAUAAUUUAACGUUGUCAGCACAUAUGUGAUCGUUGGAUCGAAAUCGAACGAUUCAUAUUUCAAGCUUGUACUGUUCAAUUAAAAACUAAAUUAAAGAAAGGUGCUAUGAAGUGUGAACACUUUCUCUAGCACUCACUCUCUUAUUCGGUGAAACUCGUGUGGGUCUCACGCUUUAGAAAUGAAACCCACAUAAAGUGAUGAGACCCACAUGACUUUCACUCAAUAAAAGAGUAAAUGAUAGAGUGAGAGAGUGUUCCUAGCAUUUCUCUAAAUCAAAAUAGGCAUUGAAAUUUGGACCGUCAGAUUUCAUUCCAACGACCAUAUAUGUACCGAAUGAGUGAUUGCGUCGAUUAUUGACUAUGGCAAUCCAUUUUCAACAAUACUCACAAAACAACAAUGGUUUUGUUUUACAUGAACAAUAAAUCAAACAGCUUACCAACAACUUCAAAACAAUAAAAACCUUUGUAGCACCGACAACUCUAAUCAAAGAUGUGUUCGGUGUCCGACACAAUACACACAUAUGGUUACAUUCAAAUAAUUCAUUUUCUCAAAUUACUACCGAUGUCAAUGUGUCAAUGGCGUGUCAAGUGUCCGUGUCAAUGCUUCAUAGAUAAAAACUAACAACUCACAACCAACACUAAUCUCAAUUCAUAACCAUAAUACCUGAUAAGUGGCACAACUUGAGAAUCUUCAAUAACAGUUUUAGCCCUUAAAUUAAAAGUCGAAUUUGAAUAUUCCGGCAAUCUUUUCAAAUUAGCAGCUUCAAUCAUAACAUAAUCAAUAAAAUCACCCAACCUAUCAACCAAAUUACCAGUAUAAGUAAUUCCAAAUUUACCCUUCCGCAUUGCUUCUUUAAAAACCUCUUCAGUAACCUUCCUACGAAUUUCAAUAGCUUGCAUAAUCAUUUCCUCUUCUUUUUCAUCACGCCGAAAAAGGGUACUCAGAGGAGGAAGAGAAGAACCCACAUCAGGGUCACUUGGAGAUUGAGCGUAAAUUGAACCUGGAAAUUGUGGGGUUCUUUUUCUUACUAAGGAAAGUUCUAAAAGUUUGAUUUUUUCUUCGUGGGGUGUUGGGUCUUGUAGUGAGGUUGGUGAAGGAUUAGUGUUGGUGUUUUUUUGUGUAAGGUGGUGAAUGAGAAAUGAUGUUGAUUUUGCAUUGUGUCUUCUGGGAAUUGGUUGGUUUUGGUGUUGUUCGUUUGGGUUUUGGCAGUUGACGAUAGUGGUGAGUUUUGGGUUUUUGGGGGUGUGGAUAGAAGAAUGAGGGAGGUAAAGAGUGUGUUUUUGAUAUGAAAGAAGCAUUUUUUGUGUUGUUGAUGGUGGGAAUUAACAAUGGAUAAGAGUUUAUGGUUGCACUAUUCGUUUUGUUCUGGUUAUGUUUGAAGAAGAUGAGGAAUUGAAUGUGGGGUAAGUGUUUAAGUAAUAUAAUACUGAAUUUAUAUUAACAAGUGAGGUCCCAUGGUCUAGCGGUUAGGACAUCAGACUCUGAAUCUGGUAACCCGAGUUCAAUUCUCGGUGGGACCUAAAAUAUUUUUUUCUUCAUUUUUUUGACAAUUCUUGUUGUAUCUCCAAAGUAAGCUGCAUUUUAGUUUUUGAUUUUUUUUUUUAUGGAAUAACUUUCAUUUUGGUGUAUAUGCAAAAGUCUAUCUUCCACCUAUUUCUUUAUUUCUUCAAAAAAAAAAAAAAAAUGUAAGGAUUAAUUCAUAAAUUGAGCUUUCUACCAACGAAGUUAGUUCAAGCGGAAUAGGUUACACUUCUCCAACAUUACGAACUGAUUUUUGAAUUUUAACGCAAAAAAUAUUUAUAUUUAAUAUCUAACACCUCGAAUAGAAUUAUUUUUACUCGAGAUAACAUAUAUAAAAAAAUUGAGCUUUUAAAGACUUGACUCUUAGUUAAAAAUAGACUUAUGUGUGUUGUGUUUUAUAUAUAUUUUUUAAAUAGUUGACCUUGUUGGGAACAUAUCAAGUGAGAAUGAUGCUUAUAUUUGAGAAUUAUAUGAUUGUUUUUUUGCCAUUGGAUUUAAAUUUAUGUUUGAGAUUAAUAGGUCUUAAAGUUAGUCGCAUACACUUUAUGUAUUCUCUUUCCGGUUACAUCUUUUCCUCUUACAUUAUCAAAACAACAUGGUUGCCGAAACCGCCGCUAUAUAUUCUCACCGCCAUAUCUAUCUCCAUUUCUAUCUAUCGCUCUCUCUCGUCGUUACAUAUGCCCUUACAUUAAUUAGUUUUUGUGCAACAGUAAGUUUAGCCAUUAGAAAAUUUAGUUUAAAUGAAACUUGGGUAAAGAAAAUGCACAUAAUCUAUUAUUGAAGACAUGGAUACACAAAGUUCAUACCUUUAAUUAUAAUUGUCCAUGGACGCAUAAAGAAUUCUACUGUAUUAAGGGAAUUUAAGUUCAUGUCAUAACUCUCAAAUGAUGGAGAAAUAGAUAAUCAAUUGCAGAGUCAUCCAUGAGAAAGAAUGGAUAAAAUGAAAUAAAUAAAAAAAGAGAAAGAAGGGAAAAUGGAAAGGAAGAGACAAAAUUUGGGAUAUGGAUCAGUUUGAAUUGGCGGUUGAGGAAGGGGGUGACAACGACCCCUUGGUUGUGGAAGGUUAAUAGGGUCGUCAGAACUGAUGGUGGAAUGUGAGAGGAAGAAGAAUUGCAUCGUUUAAACAUGCUUCUCGCAUGACCCGCUUAUUCAUCUUUUAAUCUCGAUUGAUCUUUUUAAUUUGAUGGCUACCUUUCAUUCUCACAUGAUAUGGCCCCUGACCUUGUGUUUGUUUAAAGCACAUUCGAGCUGGUCUGGUCUCGUAACCUUAAAAUCAAUGGUUCUUUAAUUGCAGGUUAACCUCUUCCUGACCUAAUGUUGGUUUGGUCAGCCCAUUAGACGUAUAAUUCGUAAGGAAUGGGAUUUCUUGAAGAAGGAUGAAUUGUUGAGCUACACGAUGAAGGUAAUAUUCAUCAAUGAAGGUUUUGUUGUUGCGCCAUUUAGACUUCAACUCAUAAAGCAUGUCAUGGAAAACUAGGAUGUUUAUCCAAUUUCCAUGAACGACAUAUGAUGUCAAAGAAGAAAGUAAAGGACGACGAUGUCUAAAGAAUCCAAGAUGGUGAUGCCAAUCUAAAAUUUUCACAUAUGCUAUAAAGCAUAUGAAUAAACGCCACAUAAGACGCGAUUAAAAAGGAUGGCUUUAUGGUUAAACUUUUUAUAGGAUAAGGUAUGGGAAAUACAACCAAACAUAUAGUUGUAGAAACCAUAUGCGGCCCACUCGCUUAUUGAAAGGAUUUAUUCCUUUGAUCUAGUUGUUCCAACAUAGAGAAGAAACAUCGGCAGAGCAAGGAAAUGAACAAAGAAUUCCAAGAGACAUUAUUUUCAGUAUUAAGGAGAGAAGCAAUAUAUAAUUGAAGUUCUUUAACGAUACAAAUUGAGCAUGUGCAAACAAAUAAGGAAGGGAUGCAAGCGACAAUUGUUGCUUAGUUACUUUUUUUUUAGUAAGGUUAUGAUAUUAGAGCAUUCUCACUUUAAAUCAACAUAUUUUUCGUUACUCAUUUUAUAUGUGCUUUGUGGUUUUAAAGAUAAUCGUGAUGGCGCCUCACGUUGAACUAUUUUUUGUGUUAUUGAAAUUUUAGGAGUUCCAAAUUGGUGUUGGUGAAGCAGCGGUGACAAAGACCCGGUUAUUUUUGUUUUUCUAAAAUCAAUUUAUUAAUUUUUUUUUACGAUCACACGUGUUUAAAAAACAUUGUAAGUAGAUUUUUGUCAAAAUCUGAUUGGGGAUGUUGUGAUUGAGCUUCAAAAUCAGCUCAACUUGCGUGCAUGAGUUUUCAAUUGCUAUUAUCAUUUCACAAGAAGAUAAUAGUGAGGUUUCAAAAUCAAACAAUCGUGAAACUUAAGAGUCAAGAGUGCAUUUAAGCCCUCAUAUACAAAAUUGUGGAUAAAUGAGUGUUUGUGUGUGUGUGUGAAUGAGAUACAUGAGAUUUAACAAUGUUGUCAUGAUCUUAUUCUUAAGAUCGAAUAAUAGAUCCUUUAUCAUAUAAUUUUUGUUUGACGGAUACCGCAUAGUUCUUAGCUUUAAAUAGUAAAAUAUACCUUGAGAGCUUGUUGAUGUAAGAUUUUUACAUUUCAUAAAACUAUUUACACGUAAGUAUGAUAGGAUCGUUUCCGCAAGGAGUUGCGUAUUUCAUAAGCAUUUUCACAAUAUUUGUCACAUUAAGUGUUUGGGUAUAAAUUGUUUGUUUGUGUAAAACUAUUUUCCUAUUCGACAUAAAAGUAAAACGAGAAGAGAUAGGGCUAUUUCGCUUGCGGUCAGAGACAUCAACCAAGCGUAACAACUGCAAUCUCUUGAUCGAUUAACGAAUUCUAGCUUUUUAAACGAUACUAUCACAAUCACUCGACAAUAUCAUUCGUGUCCAAAUUAUAUUGUUAUUUCUAAGGGAUUGUUUAAACAUUGAUUUCCCAAACGUUUAAACGAUCACAAAGUCGAUUGGAUCGUUUAAUCGACGAUUUCUCAACCGAUUAAAUGACCCAAAAGCAUUAAGUUAUAGAUUAAAAGUGAUUAUCAAAUAUUAACAUUCAUGUCUAGAGUGAUAACUUAAGGUAGAUUGUUAUUCUAUUUAUAGAUUCAAAAGUAUGUGUCCAUAUCAUUUCAAAUCUCAAUAAAACAUAAAAGCAAGAAUAACAACAAUAUUGAAUAAAUAGCUAGAACCAUAUAUUAAAUGAUCAAAAGAUUACAUAAUAGCUUGUUUGAAUACCUCAAAACCACAUGAGGUGAUAUAGCUAUAUAUGUCUAUGAUAGCUUUGCAAAGGAUAAAGAAGAAAUGAAGAUUCAAUGAUAAGAUCCAUGAUAUCUCAACAAAUAUUGGCUUGAAUCUACUCCUAACUACCUUGCUUUGUGUUUCUCUCUCUAGAAAAGUCAUAGUCUCUCUAAAAAUGUAAAUAAAACAAUAAAUGAAAUUGGUUGGAAAGAGAAGAGAAAACUAUUUAUAUGGGCCACUUCUGCGAAAUUUCGCUAAUAGCCAAAUAUUUCACGAUUACCGAAAUGUAUGAAAUCUGCCUCUGCACCAAUGGUGUUGUUCCACAUGUCCCUUAUCCUCUUGAUUUUCCUAAAGUUCGCUGAUGGCGAAAUUCUUCUGAUGCAAUUUCGCUAAUGGCGAAAUAUUCGCUAAUUACAAAAUUCGGACUUCUGCUUCUGAACUUCACUGAUGGUGAAACCUCUCUGAAACUUUGCCAAUAUUUCGCUAAUGGCAAAAUAUUCAUUUUUUUUCUACAAAAAGACUCAAAAAAUUCGAAUCGAAUAUUCAAUAAAAGAAAAUAAUAUAGCAUCGAAUAUAAAAAUUUAAAUCAAAUAAAUAAAAUAAAAAUAAAAACAUUCAUAUAAAACAGAGGAUAAAAUAGACUUUUUAUUAAAUUUGUCGGUAGUAGUCAAGUUGAACCAAAGUGAGAGUAUAGAUAAAUAUCUCUAGAAAAUAUCUGAAGAGAGAGAACAAAUAUCUUCUCUGGCCCAAUAACCCAUAAUGAAGUAGGGUAAAGCUAACUCUACACAACGGGCCUAAACCGUCAUAAGUUUAACCCUAGGUAGUAACCCUAGUUAACACGCUCCUCUCACUCUUCACCUAUAUAAACACCCCUUGAGUCCACUCUCAGAAAUAUCUCAAGCAAAUCCUUUGCCUCUAUAACCUCCCUCCCAAACCCUAAUUCAGUUUUCCCUUUGCUCUUUUCAAUGGCUGAUGUUGAAUACCGGUGCUUCGUCGGAGGUCUUGCAUGGGCCACCGACAACGAAGCUCUCGAGAAAGCCUUCUCUCAAUACGGCGAGAUCGUUGAUUCCAAGGUCCGUUUGUUGCUUGCAGGCUUCGGAUCGGAUCUGACACGAUUUUGAUUCGGAUUUCUAUGGAAACCUUUCUGAUCUGUGAUCUCCGAUCUGUUCUGUGUUACUUGUUACUCUGUUACUUGAUCUAUUUGUUACUGUUACUGUUACUGUAUGAUUUGAUUCUUUUAUUACUCACUCACACCAAUAGGUACGUUCAUCUUCUUCUUUGAACAAAAGUUGAAGAUCGAUCGGUUACUAUUCGGUUCUAGAUCUAUGGAUCUGUUUUUUUAUUUGAGAUUUAGGGUUUAGAUCUGAUUUUGUUUGUGUUUUGUGCAGAUCAUUAACGAUCGUGAAACUGGACGAUCAAGAGGUUUUGGAUUUGUGACAUUCGCUAACGAGAAAUCCAUGAACGAUGCCAUUGAAGCAAUGAACGGUCAGGAUUUGGACGGACGUAACAUCACUGUGAACCAAGCUCAGAGCCGUGGUAGCGGUGGAGGUGGAGGAGGAGGCCGUGGUGGCGGUGGUUAUGGAGGUGGUGGCGGUGGAUAUGGUGGAGAACGUCGUGGUUACGGUGGAGGUGGUGGAUACGGAGGAGGAGGUGGUGGUGGAUAUGGAGAACGCCGUGGUGGAGGCGGUGGCUACAGCAGAGGAGGUGGUGGUGGAGGAUAUGGUGGUGGUGGAUACAGCAGAGGUGGAGGUGAUGGUGGUUAUUAGGUUUUAGAUUUGUCGUUUAUGAUUAUUAUACUAGAUGUUGGGAUCUAGCUCUGAAAUUCUGUUUUUGUCACUGUUCUGUUAUGGCUUCGUUUUGAUGUGUCUUUUAUUGGUGUAUCUCUGAAUUUGAUUGUGUAUAACGAUCAAUUUAAAGAAGAAAAAAAAAACUGAGAUAUUAGUUGCACCAUAUUUUCUGUGUUUUAUUAUUCGUUUUUUUUUUUUUCUUCUCAUUUUUGCCUGCCGAAUAUUUAAAAAUAAUUUUAUCUAUAAUCAAAUCCAAUCUAUUAUGAAAAACACUUUCCCAAGAUAAUCGAUAAAUAUGAACAAUGAGUUGUGACCUAUAAUUAUAAUGAUCUUUUAAUUUUUUUAAUUUGGGUAAUGAAGUCAUCUGUUCAUUUUAAAAAGUUUAGAAAAAGAUGUGGUUUCAUGAUUUCCAAUUUUUUAGUUUUUUCCUCACCUGAUUACUUAGAUUUUGCGUUACACGAUUUGAUUUUUUGUUUAGACUAAACGGCCAUUCAUUGCAAUUGUACAUAUACAGCUUGUACUUAUACGAUUGAUAUUAGAACUUCCAAAUUCUGAUUUCUGCCACCAUAUAUUUAAAAUGGUUUAAUUGCACUUUUGAACUGUUGUGAUUUCAGACCUUAUCAUCCAUUAUCUGUCCGUCUUGUAGGCUUUUUAUUUAAUAUAUCUUGUCAAAGUAUUAAAAUUUUGUUAUGGGUACAAUGAAUUUUAAGAAAUUUUCAAUCUGAAACUGAUUUUAAUAUGAAGUUUUGUGACCAUGGAUACAAUAAUUAUGUUGGUAAGACAAUCAAAAUCCCUGCUAUGCUAACCUUUGUUAUGGUUGUUUCCAACAUUUUCAAUAUGAGAGGAAUAGGGUGAAAGAGGCAUAAUAGAUCCGUUUAAGAGGGAAAAAAAAUGCUUAAUAUAUGCUUUGGUCCCUUAAAUUAUUUUUGGUUUUCAUUUUGAUCCCCUAACUAUAAAACGUCUCAAUUUGGUCCCAUAAGUCUUCAUCCGUUUCUUAAUGUGGUCCUCUGCAAUUUUUUGAUGUGAUUUUAACCAUUUGAUUGCAUGUACAUUGUAUCUAAUAGUUAACCGUGAGCACCUAAUUUUUUUUCAUUUCUUUUCAAAAACCUAAAUCCUUUCUCUGUAAUUGAAACUAAAAUUCACAAAAAAUCACAACCUUAGAUUUACAACAUCACAAAAAAUCACUAAUCAAAAUAACUCAAAAAUGAAAUCUGAUUUCCAACAACAGUCACCACAAGAGAAGAAAAAAGAAUUCAUCCUAAUUUCUUUAUUCUCUUUAAACCCCCCAUUUUUGGUUCUGAAUCAAUCAAGCAAUAACCAUUUCUUCUUCUUCUAACGAAUUUGAUUCAAAAUCCAGAAAUUCGAUGAUCUAGAACCCAUAAAUUCCAUGAUUCAAAAACAAGAAUCUAUCUAUCUAUAUAUACAUGUAUUCUAACCUACAUUUUACCUAUGUGUAACCUCACAAACAUCCCCCUUUCUAACUAUUUCCUUACAUGCAUUCUCUCAUUAUAAGCAAGACUUUGCUUAUGUGUCACCUCACCAAUAAUUCUUAUUUCUUAUAUGAAUUUUAGUAUAUUAUAUGAAUGAAUGCAUUCUCCUAUGAAAGGGUUAUAAUAUUUAGUGUGACAUAAAUAUUUUUAAACAUGUAACUGCCACAAUCCUUCAAAACUAUGCAAUUUCUCAACAAAAAAAAACAUAUAUGCAACUGCUAAAUGCAGCCACGAGUUAUUGGCCAAAUGAAUUGUAAAUGAAUUGUGAUUCACUGAUUUGUGACUCCCAUGAAUUUAUUGUGGCAAUCUAUGUGCAAAUCCCAUUUACCAAAAAUCAUUUGCUAAUUUUUUAAUUAAUAAUUACCAAAACUUGAAUGAUUAUGGUGUAGUAAUGGUCAGUUACACAUCUUACUUAUUACCUUUAUUAUAAGCGGCUGACAAUUAUAUGGGUAACUCCUUUUUACCAAAAUUAUGUACCUUUAUUUCUUAUUGUAACUCCUUAUAGGUUACGGUUUUAAUAUAUCAUGCCACACAAAAGCAAUGGUCACAGUAAACAAGGUUCACAAUUUUUUUAUUUGUAUCACCAAGAAUGCAAUAUAAAUAUAAAUAAAUAAAUAAACAAAUUAGAAUUUAAUAGAAGUAAUGAAUAAUUUCGGCCAAAAUAUGUUCAUCCUUGGUUACAAUUUCAAUUUGUGCCUCUUCGCAUUCCUUCACAUAAAGCCUAAAAAUUUGUUACACUUUAAACCAUUUCAAUGACAGUAUUUCCCACACACCUAUAUAACCAGCAUUGGUGUCAUUCCUUUUCCACUCAUUCUGUCACAUCUAUCUGUGUAAUUUCAUUUCUUCCCACAUACUCUCUUUGCUUCCCUACCAUGUCUGCCAUUGAUGUCAUUGGAACCAAGUAAACCACUUUCUUGCACUUUUCCUCUACCAUGUUAAAUAAAACCUUUAAUCUAAUCUUUUUUCAUGUUCUUUACUUUUACAGGGUCGGAGAAGUCAACAACAAUGGUGUGCAUACCUUUCUCAACAAACUCUCCAAUGCUGCCCCUGAUACCAAGAUCAAAGUUAGGGUAGCACGCAUGUGGGACACGCUGAAUAUAACAAAAAAAAAGGAAAUAAUUAGUACAGAUAUGGUGCUAAUUGAUGAGAAGGUGUUUAUCAAUGAAAUUGCUAUAUUGUUGUUCCUUCGCAAAUAAUCUUUCUUUACUUACUAUUUACAAAUGCUUUCUAGGCAAAUUGCAUUCAUGCUACAAUACCAAGGAGGUUCUCACCUUCAUUGAAGAAAGUCUUGCAAGAAGGCAAGAUAUAUGUAAUUUCACACUUUGAGGUCUCAAAAAACAAGGAGAAAUAUGCUGUGGUUGAAAACAAUCCCUCCAUGCUUAGUUUCUAUGGUGACGCAAUUGUGACUGAGGAGGGCUCGGAUGACAACACAAUCCCUCGCUAUAUCUUUGAAUUUGUUAAUUUCAAUGAUCUUAUCAAACGUUGCGGGAAAGAGGUGUUGGCAGGUUGGUUUAGCAAAAUAUUAAAUUAUAUGUAAUACAAAUCUAUUACAUUGUGUAAAGAAUGUAACACUUUUGUUUCUCGACAGAUGUAAUUGGAUUUAUAAUUGAUGUGGAUCCAAUUGAGGAGAAAACAACCGUCAAUGGGAAAGUCGACAUGUUGUCACUUCAUUUGGGGGAUGGCAGGUGCAACAUAAUUUGUUCCCCAUGAUUUAAUUCUCAUUUAGUAGCGUAUAACACAUUUACCACAAAAAUCAAUUAACAAACUUUUUAAUCCUACGCAACUUUUGGCAGUGGGAAUGUCUUGAAGGUAACGCUAUGGGAUGACUAUGCUCCGAUGUUUAAUCAAAAACUGAUAGAUCAAAUGCAUGCUACUCCUAAGCCAAAUGUGGCAAUUUUUACCUCCACUUUGGUAAAACAAUACCAAGGUAACUGCUCAUACCAUGACAUUUAAUAUUCAACUUAAUUACCCUCUCCUCAACCACUCCAUAUGUGAUAUAUUUUUGUAGGUGAGCUUUAUGUUUCGUCUUCAAGAUCCACAACAAUUUAUAUCAACAUAGACACCCCUGAAGUUGCUGAUCUAAUUUUGUCGUCCAAGUGCGUCAUUUAACUCAUGUUUAAAUACUUAUGUUUAUAUUAUGUUGCCUAUUUUCUAAUUGUGUGUUGUUGCAUCGUUGUAGGGGGAAAAACAGUGUUUUGAAAACAACUGAAACUUUGUCUUUAACUAAUGUUGAUGUGAAGACCAUAUCUGAGCUUUUAUCCAUGGCAGUUUCGGGAGUUUAUCAGGUCAACACUUGGUUAAUUAUUCUCUAGACCUAUUUUUUAUUUCAUUAUCACAGUGUGUCAUACACUCAUACUUUCAACUUUACUUGCAGGGUGAUGUUGUCUACAAUUGUGUUGCAACAGUUGAUGACAUCCUGCUAAAAAAUGGGUUGUAUUAUGUUUCUUGCCCUCAUUGUAGGAAAACUGUGAGUUCCACUGAGACAGACUUCAAUUGUGAGCAUUGUACUAAAAAGGUCGACUAUCCAAAGAUUAGGUGAGUUCAUUUGAAGUAUUUUUUUUCCUUAUCACAUGGCCUUAAAUAUAUAUAUGUUGCUUGAAAUAAUUACAAUGAAUCUCUAUAGGUACCGUUUGGAACUUCAAGUCAACGACUCUACGGAAUCAACAAUAUUUGUGUUGUUUGCCGAAGUUGCUGAACAAUUGGCACAACUAAAGCUAGAUGACCUCACCCCGGAUUUAGAAAAUGUGUGUUACAUUAUAUCCUAAAUCUAAUAUGGUGUUUAUCGGUGUUUUUUUUUUAUUAUUGAAAAAAUAGAAUAAAAGUUGAUUGUUUUCUAAACUUACAUUCCAUUCCUUUUUGUUUGGAUAGCAGACUGGACGUGACUCUGAUCUGCCUAAACAGCUCCAGCAUAUCAUUGGUUCAAAGCAUAUUUUUCAAGUUAAGCUGAGCUCUUACUUUGAACGUCGUGGAGUACAAAGCUUCACUGCACAUAAGAUUCUGAAGCCAGUUGUUAAGGUGUUUAGUUAUAUCAUGUUUCCAUUCUUUUAUUCUUCACUGCUGGAAACCAUUAUAUACUAAAUUUUUGAUGUAAUUUAACAAAUAUCAGAUUGAGAAAGAAGACAACAUUGCCACUGCGUGUUCUUCCUCAAGUGGAUCUCUUACCAUUGAAAUACCAGAUUUGCCGAAGAAGAGGAGAAAAUUAAUGUAAGAUGUAUCAUUGUCUAAUGCAUUUAACCAUGUAUAUAUGUAAGCUAUAAAUGUGAGCUAAAAAAAACUUGCGGAUUUUUUCAGAUUGCACUCCAACAAAUCAGGUGAUAAGGACCAGAAUGAAGAUGUGGAAGAUUUAGAAGAUUGAGAAGUUGGCUGCUAAGGAUUUAAGAGGAUUUGCUUUUGAAGUUGUUUUUCAUGGUUUAGUUUAUGUUUCUCUAAUCAAUAGAGAUGUGGAUUUCAGUUUAUGUUUUUUUGAGGUUGUGUUUUUUUUUUUUUUGAGGACUUUGUCUUUUUUGUUUUUAACCUAGACUACAUUGUUGGUUUAUGUUUUUUGGAUGUUGUGUUUUUUUAAGAAUAUUUUCUUUGGAUCAAUGUUACUUUGACCUAAAUUAUAUUGUUGGUUUAUAAUGUUAUAUUGAGGGAUUUUGUUGUUUUUAAUGCUGACCUAUAUUUUGAAGACAAAGAUUAUGCAUCUAUAUGUUAAGGUGAAUGGUAAUCAUGUUUUCAUUCAUUUAUUGUUCACUUAAAAUAAUGAAAUACAUAAUUCUUAUGUGAUUUUACAAAUUUCAGAUUGAGAAAGAAUACAACAUUGACACUAUAUGUUCUUCCUCAAGUGGAUCUCUUGGCAUUAAAACGCCAGAUUUGCAGAAAUUAAUGUAAGAUGUAUCAUUGUCUAAUCAUUUAAGCGUGUAAAUAUGUAUGCUGAAACAACACUUGGAGAAUGAUAAAAAUUGCACUCUGGCAGCGAAUCAGGUGAUGAUGACAAGAUGGAAUAUUUAGAAGAUUGAUAGCUUGGCUGCUAGGGACAGAGGCAGAUGGAAUAUUUAGAAGAUUGAUAGCUUAGCUGCUAGGGAAGGAAGAAUGUUUGCUUUUGAAGUGCUUUGCAUUGUUUGGUUAAGGUUCCUCUAAUAAAGUUGUGGAUUCCAACUAUGUUGUAUUUUGAAAACUCAUGUUCCCAUGUCGAGGAUGUUAAAAAUAUUAUUUCCUUUUGAAGUGCUUAGCAUUGUUUAGAAAACUAAUUGUAUUUAGUAUUUUAAGCUUUGCAUUGUUUGAAGUGCUUUUCAAACUAAUUGCAUUUUUAAUAUUAAUUUAUAACAAGAGGAACAUGAGAACUGUUUUUUAUGAUAUAGUCUUUUCAAUUAUUUUUCUUUGGCCUAAAUUACAUUAUUGGUUAAUGUUUAUUUACAAGUUUGUUGGUUUAUCUGUUUUUCAUCAUAAAUUUACUGAAUCUAAUGCCAUAAUAAUUACACAAGUUGUAUUGAGACAUAUCAAAUUAACAAUGACACAAAUAUAGAUAGAUAGGUUCUUCCUCAAAAAAAAAAAAAAAAAAAAAAGGAUAAAUAAGUUUUUUACAUGGGCCAACCAAAAUAAAAUAAAAUACUAACUUAAAUAUUAACAAAAAGUGCUAAUCUUUAUUAAGAUCCUAUUAUAUUCUUUAUACGUAACUAUAAAUUACUACCACGUUAAUACCCAAAAAAAAAAAUAUUAUUACCUUUUGCCAAAUAACUAAUAAAAUACAAAUACUCCAUCAAUGUUAUUUGAGCUCAAUUCCAGUUGUGAGUUCUUACAUUAACAUGUGAUAGACAAAGGGUGUGUUAGUUAUUAUCCUUAUAUUAUUAUAUACUAUACUAUUUUUUUAGACCAUUUAAUUAUGGUUGAUGUACCACAUAUUGAAAGAUUUAUAAUUAAAAUUUACAUUUCAAAAAAUCAAAGAAUAUAAAACAUAGUGAAAUGUAAUUAUACUUUCCUCAACUUAGGCAUAAUAUUGAUAUAUAAAUAAGUAACUAAUAUUUACAAGUUUUUUUCCAAUGACGUUAUAUUUAUAUCUAAAAGCAUGAAAUAAUAUAAACAUGUUCAAUUUUAUAAUAAUAAUGAUAAUAAAAUAUUAUUGUUCUUUUUGUUGAAAUCAAAUUAGUUCUACAUUAGCACACAAAAAAGGAACAUAGACAUACUAAUGAAAGAUAAAAAAGAAAAAUUGUCCUUUGAGUAGAAGUAGCACACCUAUUUCAGCACAAAAAAAUAAAAAUAUACAGCUACCUAGACAUACUAAUGAUCAUCGUAUUAAUUACUUAUUAUUAUUAUUAUUAUUGUUAUUAUUAUUAUUGUUGUUGUUGAUGUAUCCAUUAAUUUUUGUAACAUAUCAUAUUAUUAGAUAUCAAUUUUUCAUCUGCAUAACAUAAAAAAUCAUAAAUGUUGCAUAAAUAAUAAAUGCGUACAUGUAUUCUAAGCUACAUUUUCCUUACAUGUCACCUCACCAAAGCUCUCCCUUUGUAACCAAUCUCUCAUACUUAUGCCAUGUGGCUCUCUAUUUCAUUUUUUAGCUUUUUUCUUUCAUUAUUAUUAUUUUUUGGUAGAAUCAUUCAUCUAUUUACUACACAUUUAUUUGUAUAUAAUAUUGAUGUUGAUACAUAUUCAGAUAGUUCUUCUAUUAUGUAACUUCUAUUAUGUAACUGUCAAUUGUUCCACCGUCCAUCUUCUUUUAUUUUAUUCAGGUUUUUAAUUUAUUAGCUAAAACAAUAGGAUCAGAUGAACACAUAGUCGUAUUUCAACAUUCAGAGGUGCUAUUUCUAAAAAAGUUAUUUCAUUGAGCAGAGGUGCUAGGAUUAGAUCAUCGUUUUAUUUUUAUUGUUUUUUUUUUUUUCCCCGUCCAUCUUUUUUUUCUUCUAUUUUCUACAUGAUCUAUAUAUUUAUUGACUUCUUUAUCAUAUAAAUUGAUGUGGCUUUGUAACAUCAAAUUCUCAUACAAUAUCAGCAACUAAAACAUUCAUGUCACAGUUCCUUCUUUCGCUGCUUAUAUUGUUGGUUCCUACUCAUGCAAACAAUCAUGUCAAGAUUAUAUAAUAUUGUAGUUUAGCUUCAUGAUUACUUACAUGUUCAGCCAUGGUUGCCGCCUCUUACAUUCUCACAUCCAAUCAGAAUACUUUGCUUCUCUGUUCUCACAUCUAAACUGAACCGCUGACACCUGUGUUCUCUUUCUUCAACCUUCAUUCCUUUCUCGCGUCUCACCACCCCUGCGUUCAAUACGACAACCUCCGUUAUUUCUAUUUUCGUUGUAAAUAUAUGUUUUGUUUUUAUUCUUUAAUCAGUAAAGAAACAUGAAUCAAAGUUCAGGUAUAGUAUUUCAGACUUCUUUUGGAUUCUCAUAUAUCAAAUGAUCAACAUUUUUUACACACAUUAACAUCUAAACCAUCUCAUGUAUCUAUGCUAUGGUCUACAUAUGAAGUAAUUAAACUUACAAUUUUACAAAUAUUAAUUUCAUAAUAGUCAUGUCAUACAUAAUGCUUCUAUUCUUAUUUUUUUAUUGUUUAAUGUAUACCAUAAACCAGUAAAUGCUACAGAACAUGUUGAGGUAGCGACAUCGGAGAAACACAACAAAAGAAAGACAAAUACAAUGAAUAUCAACGACACAUCAGAGAGGCAUAACAAAAGAAAAAGAUAUGCGAUAAAUAUCAGUGACCCACUAGAACUCCAACAAAAAAAUGGUUAGUCGAAGCUAUUUGGUGGACUCAUUUUAUAUUUGUUACAUUAUCUAUGUUAUUAAAUUGUUAAUUUUUAUAUUUUUGCUUUUAAUCUGUUCCAUUUUAUAAUUCCCAAUAAUAAAAACAGAAUAUCAACACAAACAAAAACUUGCUGGGUUUCGACAAGCCAGGUUGAAUAGGAAGCAAAUGCUCAGUUUGAGGCGGAAUAAAGGAAACAUUGCUGCAUUUUUCGGUGAAAUAUAAAAUUUAGGACAUACACAUGGAUUAUUAUAGCUCAUGCUUUAUAAAAACUCACUAACGUUAUGGCCUAACGGCCAACUUAUUUUCAUUACUUAUGUUGUAUGCACUUACUCUUUGUCAGGAGACACUUACCAACAGUGUAACGUAGGCACAUCAACAACCCAAGACAUUAAUAGCAAUACUGAAAACGUUUGUGCCACGUUUGAGCUCCGACACACAAGUGGUUGGUUUUAUGCAUUUCAUUUAUCAAUUUAACAUUUAAACAACUUAAAAUAUUUUACUUUCAAUCUUCUUAUUUUUAAUUGGUUCCAUUUUAUUGUUCUUAAUGUUGUAAACAGAAGAACAAAAUAUACAACGGCUUGCAGGGUUUAAACAAGCCAGAUUAAAAAGGAGACAAAUCCUUGAUUCAAGGCGCCGUUGCCCCACUUUUGCAGCAUCCAUAGGUGAGAACAAAAUAAGAACUAAAUAAUUCAUGAGUCAUACAUACUAACUUUGUAACUGUUCUAACAUUUUCCAAUUCUCGGUACAUUCGAGGUGUCACAUCAACACCACAAAAUAUACAACGCCCUUGCGGGGUUUAAAUAAGCCAGAUUAAAAAGGAGGCAAAUCCUUGAUUUAAGGCGACAUAGACCCACCUUUGCAACAUCCAUAGGUAAAACCAAAAAUAAAACUAAAUAAUUCAGAGUCAUACAUAUUAACUUUGUAACUGUUUUAACAUUUUCAAAAUGUUGGUACAUUGGAGGUGUCACAUCAACAGCACAAGACAGUAAUAGGAAAAAUGAAAACGUUUGUAGCACUUUUGAACUACGACACACAAGUGGUGGGUCUUAUGCAUUUCAUUUAUCAAUUUAACAUUUAAACAACUUCAAAUAUUUCAUUUUAAACUUCUUAUUUUUAAUUGGUUUCAUUCUAUUAUUCUUAAUCUUAUAAGCAGAAGAACAAAAUAUACAACGAUGUGCGAGAUUUAAACUAGCCAGAUUCAAAAGGAGGCAAAUCCUUGAUUCAAGGCGACCUAGCCCCACAUUGGCAGCAACCAUAGGUGAAGAAAAAUAAAUAAAACUACAUAGUUUUUAAUUGUUCUAACAUUUUUCAAUUCUCGAUACAUUCAAUGUGUAUUUGGUGGAAUAUUUAUGAUAAAUUAUAUUUUUAAAUUAAUUUUCAUAUAUAGUUCAUGAUAGUUUAAAUUAUAUUUAAAUUAAAUCUUAGAAAAUUAAUUUAAAAUUUAUCAAAGACUUUAAUUUAAAUAAAUAAAAAUCUAACAUUUACUACUUCUAUUACAUCUGCUUACUCUUCGACAGGAAAUAAGACAUCCAAACCCAUAACAACACAUAAAAGGACAAAUACCAAAAGUAUUCACAGUACACAUCGAAUCCAACACAAAAGUGGUUAGUGUUAUCUCUUUGCAUGACCAAUUUAAUAGUAGCUUAUAAUAUUUAAAUACAAUAUUUAAAUGCACAAUGAAACCAUCAUAGCUGCAUUUAUUACCUUUUCUGACUCCCGGUGCUUAAGACUCUAAAAAACGACUAACGUGAACUGAUAAUAUUCGAUAUAUAUACUCUCAACAGGAAACAACAACCAACAAACUGGGUCAGUCGCAUCUAGAACACACGACAGAAGGAUGAAUCCAACAAAUGGUUAGUGUGGCUUAUUUCUUUAAACAACUUAGCAUUGCAAAAACCAAUAAUCUUUCACUUUAAAAUCUCAUUUGCAGACCAUGUCCAAACUUAUAUGGAUCUCGGCCAUCCAAAUUUUGAAUGCGAAAAAUGUGGAAGCACAAUGUGGUAUAAUGAGAGAGCUGAUAAACCACGUCGACCAAGGAACCCAACAUUCUCUCUUUGUUGCCUGAAAGGGGAUGUCUCCCUAGAGUUUUUAGAGCAACCACCAGACUACUUGAAGGAACUUUUAGCUUACAAAGGUGGCAGACACUCCGUUAAAUUUAGAGAAAAAAUACGGGCAUAUAAUUCUAUUUUUGCAUUCACAUCCAUGGGUGCUAAAAUAGACAACACAGUGAACUUACGUCCAGGCCCAUAUGUGUACAAAAUUAGUGGUCAAAACUAUCAUAGAAUUGGUGGACUCAUACCUGGCCAAGGAAAACAACCUAAAUUCUCCCAGCUUUAUGUCCAUGAUACGGAGAAUGAGAUCCAAAAUCGAUUGAGUUCGCUGAAUGGUGGGAAGACUGCACGAGACCUUGAUGCAGAUAUUGUCCGGCGCCUAAAGGAUAUGCUCGACAUGAAUAAUUCUGUAGCCAAAUUAUUUAGAAUGGCAAGGGAUAGAUUAUCUGCACCGGACAACAAAGAAGUUCGCAUAAGGUUGAUUGGCACAAGAUCAAAUGAUUCAAGACAAUAUACAACACCUACCGCAACAGAAAUUGCUGGUCUCAUUGUUGGAGAUUUUGGUGAAUCAAAUGGACGAAGAGAUAUAGUUAUUGAGCAUAAAACAGAUGGCCUGCAGAGAAUAAAAGAAUAUCAUCCAAAAUUCAUGGCAAUGCAAUAUCCUCUGUUAUUUCCAUAUGCUGAGGAUGGAUUUCACCUAGACAUUUAUUAUUCUCAAAAUCAUGCAAAAAGAAAGAAAAAGAAAAAAAGAAAAAAAGUUACCCUGAGAGAAUAUUAUGCUUACCGGAUACAACAGAGGCCCUGUGAAGCAAAUACUCUUAUUAUUGGUGGUCGACUGUUCCAACAAUACGUUGUUGAUGCAUUCACGGCAAUAGAAGAAGAGCGACUGCGCUGGGUUAGACAGAAUCAAACAGUGUUGCGUACGGAUCUGUACAGAAAUGUAUGUGAUGCAGUUGUGCGUGGAGAUACAAUAGCUGCUGCUACUGGGAAGAGAAUCGUUUUGCCAUCUUCUUUUACAGGUGGCCCUCGAUAUAUGGUUCAAAACUAUCAAGAUGCCAUGGCCAUAUGCAGGACAUUUGGAAAUCCUGAUAUCUUCAUGACAUUUACUGCUAAUCCAAAGUGGCCAGAGAUUCAAUACAUGCUUCAGAAAAUACCAGGUCAAUCUGUCGAUGAUAGACCGGACAUCAAGACAAGAGUUUUUAAAAUGAAACUUGACCAGCUAAUGAAACACAUAGUGGAGGGGCAAUAUUUUGGUAAAAUUAUAUCAGGUAAAAGUACAUGGAAUAAAUGUUCUCACAUUCUAAAAAAAAAAAAAAUUAAAGAUCAAUUUGAUUCAAAUUGUUUAUUCAAUCUAUAUGAUACAUACAUGUUAUACUAAUAAAGAUUUGUUUUUUUUCUCUCUUUUCAAAUUGACAGCCAUUUAUACCAUAGAGUUUCAAAAAAGAGGUCUGCCACAUGCACACAUACUAUUAUGGUUGCACCCAAGCAAUAAGUAUCCCACCCCGGAGGAUAUAGAUAAGAUUAUUACUGCAGAAAUGCCAUCUAAGGAAGAUGAUCCAGAAUGUUUUAAUGCGGUAAAACAGUUCAUGCUGCAUGGACCGUGUGGAGAUGCAAAUAUAAAUGCACCUUGCAUGAUUGAUGGUAUUUGUAGUCGAAAAUUUCCCAAAAGUUUUUUCGAUGAAACAACAAUAGAUAGAGAUGGGUUCCCGACGUAUAGAAGGAGGGACGAUGGAAGACAUGUGAAAAAAGGAGAUAUCAAUUUAGACAAUCGGUAUGUGGUUCCAUACAAUCGAGGUUUGUUGCUGGCAUUUCAAGCACAUCUAAAUGUUGAAUGGUGCAACAAGUCAAGGGCCAUAAAGUACCUAUUUAAAUAUCUUCACAAGGGCCCAGAUAGAGCAAUAAUGGUAAUAGAAGAUAAUGUUUUGGGCAACAGAAGCACAAAUGCAACUCAUAUAACAAUGGUUGAUGAGGUCAAAACAUUCUUGGAUUGUAGGUACGUCAAGGUAGUUAUAGGGAAUACUCUAAUAAUGAUCACAAUGAAUUUAUAACCAUUUCAUCUUUUAUGCAUUAUUCAUUGUAGGUAUGUAUCGGCAUGUGAAGCAUGUUGGAGGAUAUUCAAUUUUGACAUACACUACAGAAAUCCGGCUGUUAUGAGAUUGAGCUUUCAUUUGCCAGAAGAACACUCAAUCACUCUAAGAGAUUCAGAGCAAUUGUCAGACGUAAUUUCAAAGGAAGGAGUUGAACAUACUAUGUUUACAGAAUGGAUGCUAAUGAAUUCAAUGAGCUCGGAAGCACGUACAUUAACGUAUUCUGAGUUUCCCAAAAAAUUUGUUUGGGACGAGACAAAAAAAAAGUGGAAAAAACGGAAAGCUGGAAGAACAAUCGGAAGAAUUUAUUAUGCACAUCCAACUAGCGGGGAGAAAUAUUACCUCAGAAUUUUACUGAAUAUUGUUCAUGGUCCAACAAGCUAUGAAGAAAUAAAGACAGUGGGAGGGGUGACUUAUCAGACAUUCAAAGAAACAUGUAAUGCUCUUGGGCUAUUGAAUGAUAACAGAGAGUGGAAUGAUGCAUUGAAUGAAGCAUCACAGUGGGCCACAGGCACUCAAUUAAGAGAGUUAUUUGUUACCAUUUUGCUUUAUGGAGAAGUGGCAGAUAUAGGGAAACUAUGGGAAACUAAUUGGAAAACGUUGUCUGACGAUAUUGUCUACAAAAAGAGAAUAUUGUUUCAACACUCCAGAUUGGAGCUUAAUGAUGAACAGAUUCAAUCAUACUGCUUGAUUGAAAUUGACAAGAUUUUGGUUCGUGCUGGAAGUUACCUUUCUGAUUUUGAUGGAAUGCCGUUGCCAAAUAGUGAAUCCUUUGAAGCCACGGAAAACCGACUUAUUGUGGAAGAGCUUAGUUAUAAUGUUGAUGACCUGAAAAAAGAACACGAAAGAUGUCAUCCAUUGUUGAACGAACAGCAGAUUGAUAUAUAUAAUAAUGUUAUAAAUGCUGUCAACACUAAUAUUGGUGGACUCUACUUCGUGUAUGGCCAUGGAGGGACUGGCAAGACUUUUCUAUACAGAACAAUUAUUGCAAAACUCAGGUCAGAAAAAAAGAUAGUACUUGCUGUUGCUUCUUCAGGUAACCCAUCACUUUUUCAAUCCCUUAUAUAAAUUUACAUGUUGUCUAUUUGUACUUAUAAAUAUGUCAGUCCAUACACCCUUAUUUCUGCGCUUCAUUGCAAUAUUUAUUGUACAAAUUACUAUAUGUACCAAAUUAGCAACUAUUAUAUGCUAUAAUCUAUCUAAUAUUAUAUGCUUUUCUUCUACACAAAAUAUAAAAAAAAACAUACAAUUUUUAUUCAAAUAUAUAAAUAUAUAUAUAUAUAUAUAGAUAGAUAGACAUAGACACACACAUAUGCUUGCAUGCAUAAAUAUAUUUUCAAUUUUUUUUUUAAUUUCAUUCUUGACAGGUAUUGCAUCCCUCUUGCUUCCUGGAGGAAGGACCGCUCAUAGUAGAUUUAAAAUUCCUCUUGAGAUCUAUGAAGACAGCACAUGCUCAAUAAACCAAAAUACUCAUCUAGCUGAUCUAAUGGUUCAAACAGAUCUCAUAAUCUGGGAUGAAGCACCAAUGACUCAAAGAUAUGCUUUUGAAGCUCUUGAUAGGACACUUAAAGACAUAAUUGGUUUCAAAUUUCCGGAUAGGGCAGAGCAACCAUUUGGAGGAAUGACAGUUCUUCUUGGAGGAGAUUUUAGGCAAAUACUUCCUGUAAUACCAAAAGGUCGAAUACAUGAUAUAAUUCAAUCAUGCAUCAACAAGUCUUUUUUGUGGGACUACUGUACAAUAUUUUCAUUGUCCAAAAGCAUGAGGGUCAGAAAUACUACCUCUACAGGCAAAGAACAUGAUGUGAUACGUGAAUUCAAUAAAUGGCUACUUCAACUUGGUGAUGGAAACAUUCAAGCACAAAGCCGACGUGGUGAAGAUUUUGCAUCGUGGACGACGAUACCAGAUCAAUAUCUUAUCCCACCAAUGGGUGAUCCACUCAAACAAAUUGUGGAUAACACUUACCCAGAAUUAAAGAGCCAUCUGUGGGAUGAAGAAUAUUUCAGGGAAAGAGCAAUACUCACUCCUCUAAAUGAAACAGUUGAUGAAAUCAAUAAUUAUAUUGUUCAGUUUACUGAUGGAGAAACAAAACAAUACAGAAGCUCAGACGAGAUUGACAAGACAACUGACAACAUAUCAGAUCAAGAGCUCAUGUAUCCUGUGGAAUUUCUAAACUCCUUAAAUAUUAAUGGAUUUCCAAGACAUUGUUUGGAGCUUAAAGAAGGAAUGCCUAUUAUGUUAUUGAGGAAUAUCAAUCCGGCAUUAGGAAUGUGUAAUGGAACAAGACUUAUUAUUACGCAUCUAGGAGAGCGAGUAAUAGAGGCUAAAAUAAUUACAGGAUCUAACGUUGGUUCAAAGGUGCUAAUCCCCAGAAUUGUUCUUACUUCUAACGACUCUAAAUGGCCUUUUCUGUUGCGCAGGAGGCAGUUUCCAAUUAAGGUGUGCUAUGCAAUGACAAUAAACAAAAGUCAAGGCCAGUCAUUAAAUUAUGUGGGAUUAUAUUUGCCAAGACCUGUAUUUAGUCAUGGACAACUAUAUGUUGCCUUUUCAAGAGUCACUUCCCCAGAGGGACUGAAAAUUCUAAUUGUUGAGCGUGAUGAGAAUUAUGUACAAUACACGAAAAAUGUAGUGUACCAUGAGGUAUUUAGUGGUCUUCCUCAAUGUAAAUAUAUUUGAUGCACUGUUUUCAAAUCUAUCUAUCAUUCACAAUAACUUUAGCAACUACGUUAUUCAUUGUUAACUAACACACUUCGAUUUGUACCAUUGAUUUUUUACAAUAAUAACCGCGAAUCCCAAGUAAUCGGACUUUUUAUAACAGAAUUUAAACUUCAGAACCUUAAUAAAGUAAAAUCCUACAAACACAACAAUAACCAUUUGAAUCGUUUCAAUGGUGAAAAAACUUAUUAAUGGUUACAACCGUAAGUUUCUAUCUACACAUCAACUAAUAGCAUAAAUGGUUCCAAAUGAGCAGCCAAUGUUAAACCAAUAACUAAAAUUAUCAUAUCAAUUGAUCAAUGUACCUUAUACGAAGCAGCCCACUACUAAUUGGCAAACACUAUCGAUCCUUUAACUCACAUACCUAAAAAAAAAACAUUUUAUCAACAAUUACAAAACUGAACUGAGUUCAACAAAUUGAAACUAAAUCCAAAACAAAAUUUAAUAUAAGUAACAUGUGUACAACAAUAGUAGGAGGAUGAUUGUCGCCGAACUCGGUAACGAAUUCAACAGACAGCUCAACGGAAACUAACCCAGAGAUGAAGAACAAAAUAUUCAAAUGUUUACAUUUUAAUAGUUUCUACAUUUUAAUAUAACCAUUUUAAUAGUUUCAUUGGUGGAAAAACUUAUUAAUGGUCAAAACCACAAAAAAAAAAAAAAAAUAUCAAAUUUACGCAUAAAUGGUUCCAAAUGAACAACCAGUGUUGAAUCAAUGACUAAAAUUAUCAUAUCAUUUUAUCAAUGUACCGUCUAUGAUGUGUUCCACUGCUAAUUGCCAAACAACUUCCAUAGUUGAACUCACAUACCUAAAACAAAUAACACAAUUCAUCAACACUGACAAAAAUGAACAGAGUUCAACAAAUUAAGAAUACAUCGAGAACAAAAUUGAAAAUAACUAAAAAAAUGUGUAAAACAAUAUCCCGAUCUCACUACCGGAUUCAAGUUGGGCCUCAACCGAAAAAACCCACAAACAAGAACAAAAGAUAAAGAAGAAGACAACUGACAUCACCUUCUUCUCGGUGCUCAACGGUUCUGCGAUUGAACCGUCGUUCGUUCACUCGACAUCAACGAAGAACCAUCUCGGAUAAUAACACUGCUGGCAUCAGAAAUAGGCACAAAGUGUUAUCUGAGGAUUAUCUGCAGAAAGUUGCUUCUAUUGGUGUCAGAAAGAAGCGUUCGUCUCAUCAACAUCAUUCUUUUGGAACGAGUAGUGAUAAAAAGGAACGAUCCAACGAUGUCUUGAAAGUGGUCAAAAUAAUACGUAGAGAUAAGAACCAUAACCUGUCAAAGGAAAAUUUGCUGCAUCAACAGAAAACGAAUAAUAGGUUGCGAAUUGUUGUCCAUGGAGGAGAUGGAUUGUUUGAAACAUAUAGGCUUUCGAAAUCUCAAUUUGAUGGGGAGGAUGUAACUUUCAACUCAAGAAUUUCUGUAACGAUUAUCAAGAAUAUAGGCUUAAGAAGAAUUGCUUUUUUUGAAACAUAUAGGCUUUCGAAGAAUUGCUUUGCCUUUCCAAAUUAUCGAGGAUUGCCGUGUUCAUCUUGGUUGAAAGGAGUUUAAAAAAUUCACGUUUUUAGGGAUUCAGUUGUGUUCUCUUUUCUUUCAAAAUCACUUUUAUGUUUAAAUAUAAAAAAAUUCCUUUUUAUUUUAUAUUGUUCGUAACUUUUCCUUCUUUUUUUUAAACAAAAAAAUUAAAAAUCUUACUCUUUAAUUUUGAUUAGAUAUGUUAUUAAUAACUUUUUAUUUUUUAUUCAAUCAACUACUACUUCAGUAUGAAAUUAUAACACUUUUUGAUAAAAACAAAAAAAAAAAAAAAAAACCCUUUUCAUAUUUUCGACUAACAAAAAUGCAUCCAAGUUUUUACCCUUUUUUUUUUGUGAUAGUCCAAGUUUUUACCUUAAAAAUAUGGACCUACAAACCAUUAAUUUUAUUUUUUUGAUCAGUAAACAUCUGAUUUUUUGGAACUGAAGAACUUUAAUUGCGGUCAAAUAUAAUCUUUAAUGAUGGAAUCAAUUUUUUUAUUAAAGAACUCAAUUUUUAAUAUACUUGAUAUCAUUGUAUCAUUUACUUUAAAUAUUUGCUAAAAUAAUGUUAUUUUAAAAAUAUAAAAUGUCCAACAUUUUUUUUAUAUAACUAAAUAAUGAUCUGAUGCAUCAACUAAAACAAUUUAAUCAAACCCGUGCAACGCACGGGUUGUAUCCCUAGUUAAUUAAAUGAAUUCAAAACCCAGAAAAGGAAAGAAAAAGGGAAAGAAGAAGAAAAGGAAAGAAAAAGAAAUGAAAACUGUUAAGUUAAUGAAGAAAAUUAACGAAAAGGAAAGAAGAAGAAAAAUGGGAAAGAACGAGAAUGAGGGGAAGAGGAAAAAAAGAAAGAAAAAGAAAAGGAAGAAAUGAGGAGAAAGAAGAAAUUUUUUUGGGUUGGUAUGAAAAAUGGAGGAAAAAUUAUGUUGAAGAUGAUUAAGAGGAGGAUGAAGAAUGGAGGAAAAAUUAGUUAAUAAAUGGUACACUAUAAGAUAGAAUAGACAUGCACAAUCCAACGAUCCUCUUUUUAACUAAAAUAUCAAAUGGUUAAAAUUAAAAAACUUAGUAAGGUCUAUGGUGGACCACCUAUAAUGUUGGUUCACCUUAGACAUUUAGUGUUAAAAACAGACGGAAGUGUCCAAAAUGGUAAACGACAGAAGAGUUAUGGGACCAAAUUGAGACACUUUAUAGUUAAAGGAUCAAAAUAAAAAUAAAAAAUAAGUUAAGGGACCAAAUCAUGUAUUAAACCAAAAAAAAAAUGUAGGCUGUGUCGAGUGAAUGGAAAAAGAGCAGCUGCAAAGAGAGUGAUUGGUUGUAAAGGGGGAGAGAAAAAGCAUAAUCCAGUGGUUUGUCACUAAAGAUAUCAUGUACCCUUUUUUUAUCUAACGGUCAAUUUAAACGGUACACCGGUGAGGGACUUAAUAGAGCCCUCACCCUAGAAUCAAUUAUAAAUAAUAACUUAGUUUUGAUUCUUUUUACUUUCUUUUCUAUUAAUUCAUUCAUCCACUAAAACACAGAGACAUUGUCUCAGAUUUGCAAGAAUCUUGAAUGGAUUGUGUGUACGUUGGCAGGGAUAGUAGCAUUUAUCACAUGAAAUUGUCUUUACAGUUUGUUUGGAUUUACGAGUGAAGAAGUUUUCUCUUUAAUUCCAACCGGAAGUGGUGACCGGAAACUCAUCCAAGGUGGCGUGCGGUGGCUCGCCGGUGUAGGAAGAAAGGCAUACAGGCUAAAGUUUUAACUCAAAUUGAAGGUUGAAAAACAUACUUCUGGAAGAAAAAACAUACUCCGUCCCAAACAUGUUUAAGUUUUAAUUGUUCUGAAGAAAAAAAAAACGAUAUUGGGAUGGCAGGUUUGAUGUUGGUGGUGGUGGGUUAGUGAGGCAUGAAGAAGAAAUAAUAGUGUUGAAGAUGGUGUAGAAGAAUAAUAUGGUGCUGAGAGACUAUGAUAAAUGUGUAUACUUUAUUUGAUCAAAUAACUUUUCCAUGGUGGAAAAGUUUUACCCUUUCCCAUGUUAAAUGCCACACGAGGACAAGUGUACAAUGGCAAUCUAUUUUACUACACUCUUUUUUUCUGCACAAGGACAAAUUGUGACGUUUGAUGUUCAGCUUCAUAUAAAUAUGAAAGGAGUUUGUCGAACAUUUAUCAUGCCUAAAUAUCCAAAUAUGCACCUACGAUUGACAUAAACCAAACCCAAGACUACCAACCAAGAUUAACCUAAACAAAACGACGUGGUUUCUUAACUCUACCAGUAGUGGGUGCAGACUUACGUGCAGCCUAAAGGAACCGAAAAAACCAAAAAAAUUAACCAAAUAUAUUCAAUCACCAUAAUGCAAAUAACAUUCAAUGAUUAUGAAUAUGAUGGAUUCAAAAACUCACCUUGGUUGCAAGUUGCUUCCUAGGUGCCUUUCCACCAGUAGCUAAGCGAACAUGAGCGAGAGUUAGUGCUCCACAAAUUGUUUAAAUUAUGCUUUUGGAUUUGUUUAAAAUUAUCCUCUAGUUGGAUUUUUUUUUUUGGCUAUGUAAUAUUUAAGAACAUGGAAUGCCAAAGGAAUUUGAUUAUAGUUCAAUUGGUGACGAUCAAAAGUUGUGAAAGUUCAUAUUCUUCGGUCAUUGAUAAACAAUUUGUUGGACAAUAUUCAAUACAGUUACCACAAAAAAUACAAAUUUCGAAAUCAAUACUGUAAUUUAGCAACUGUUUCUUUCGAAUAUCAAUUUAGCAAUUGUUUCUUUUGAACACAUACUUCACAAGCAAUGCAUUUAUCAAAUUCAAAAUGGAUUCAACCGCGGAAACGUUCCGAUGUGAUUAAUUUUUCAUAAGGAUAUUGAAAAGUUACAGGUAAACGAUUUGCGUGAGAUAAGAUAAUCAUGAAACUUUGAUCAAUGUACCUUGCAGCUCAGACUGUUUGUUGACCAUAAUUCAUGAUUUAUGACUUGUUAAUUGUAACACCCCGUUACCCAAAGCAAUAAAAUAGCAUAUAAACAUCAGAGUAAUUCCACAAACGGGCAUGCUACAUUGCAAAUUCAAAAUUCUUAAAUAGAAAAUAAAACUAUUUAGUUCAACAUCAUUCAUAACUUCAAUAAUUAUGCAGCGGAAAGUUUUGCAUUUCAAUAACAACCACAACAAUUUAAAUCUCCAACAAUAUCCUGACAUUAAGCCUAAACAACAAAAGUCAAACAACAAAGGGCCCCAUCGUUAAGUUCCAAAAAUUGAUACAUAGGAGGAAAACAACAAUAAAAUAAUAUAAAUGCUCCCAUCCCACGUAUCAAAGCCCUAGACACGACAAUGAGCCACCACCAACUACUCAGGAUCACCUGCAAGUUACCCAUAGGAAGGGCAACGUUUUCAAGCAGAAGGGGUGAGAUUCACAACAAUAAAUAUAGAUUUUAAAAAUCAUCAAAUGAAUCUAACACCCUAAUCAACAACACAUUAUCUUGUAAACAUAUAUUUGUAUAAGUCACAAGCAACAACAACAUCAACAAUACACCAUAAUUACGGUGAAUAUAAAUAUAUAUAACACAUAUUCAACACCAACAUCAUCUAUCAAAUAACAACUGAAACCAACAACCAAAACUCAUGCAAAUGACAUGACCACUGCUAAAACACCAUCUUAGACUUCUUAAUGAAAUGCAAUUAUGCAUGUGGUACCAAUCAGGACCGGAGCCCUCACCGCUUUUGAAUGGUUAAAGCAUUCAUCAGGACCGAAGCCCUCACCGCUGUUGAGCAACUAGUACUCCAGGACCGAAGCCCUCACCGCUGUUUUAUGCAUAUGCAAUGGACCUACUUGUGUAUAUCUACAUACAACUGACCAUGCAAUGCAACUCCAUGUGACUCCAAUUAAUACAACAUGUAUGAUUAAUAAUUAAAACAUACAAUGCAUUCCUCAUCAUCAAUCAACAUCCAACAGAGAUUCAACCAUUCAGAAUGAUGUAUAAUUAAAUAAAAUUAUGCUUAAACAACAACACUUAAACCUUAUCAAUCAAGCAAGCAAAACUGCACUCAAAACUGCACUAGCUCGCCUCGCGAGCACAUCUGCUCGCCAUGGCGAGUUCACAAAACACUAGCUCGCCAUGGCGAGUUCAAGGCGAACUCGAGGCGAGUGAAAAUCAGGUACUCUCGGGAAAAAGUGACAUUUCCUCACUCAAACUCCAAUUCUAAGCUCCCUAUUCAUCUUUCUAACCUAAAACUUCCACCAUUCAUCAUUAAAAUCAUCUAGGUACCUUAAACCAUCCCCAAAACAUCUUAUAACAACUUUUCAAAAAUCAGGUUUUAAUCUGGGCUACUCGCCAUGGCGAGUUGGAUUGCUCGCGAGGCGAGCUAUGAAGUUGCUCACUCGCCAUGGCGAGCACAGCUACUCGCGAGGCGAGCGAUGAACUUCUGUACGGGCAGAAAACUGGUUUUACCCAAAAAUCCCAUUUUUCUUCCAAUCACUCCCCAAAUCAGUUUACAGAUGCAAAUUAACUUUCUGUAUGCACUUAGAACCUAUUUCUAACAUCAAAUUCAUGCUUACAACUUCAAAACUACAAUUUCAUCAUAAAACCCAAAAUCCCCAAUUUCUACCAAAACCUGUUAAACUCAAAAUCAGACUUUAAAUUCUACACCAUUGAAGUAAACCCCACCCUUACCUUAAUUCAGAAUGAAAAAUGCACCGCAAAAAGGGUUCCUCUGGUUCUUCUCUCUUGCUCCUGGUUUUCUCUUCCUUGGCUUGGUUUCACGUAAAACUGUUUCUGACUCCCACUUUCUAUUUUCUUAACUUCCCACUUAAGAGUAACUCCCUCCUAAUUACACUUAACUCCCCCAAAUUCCUAAUAACUCCAAUUAAUUCCCCAAACACCAAAAUAAUUAAUAUUUCAUACUUAUUUUAAUUAUUAUUAAAUAAACCAUAUAAUAAAAUAAUAUACCAUAUAAAUCACCCAAAAUCAUACAUAUAAAUAUAAGCAUAUGCAUAUACUCCACAUAAAUCACCAAACCAUCAUAUAUAAAUAUAUAUAUACUCCACAUAGUUUAAAAUUAAUUAAAUAAAUAAUUAGGGCGUUACAUUAAUGCCCCAUAGUUGAGUUGCUUUUUUGCAUAUAUAAAUACUUCUGCACUUGUAGUUUAAUGACUUAUUAUGCGUUAUUUGAUGGUAUUUUUAAGAAUCAAUCCGCGUCUCUUUACUUUUUUACUUUGUUCUGCACAUAACAAAUUCAAGGACUUAUUUGAUGAUAUUUUUAUAUAAUGUAGGGAUCGAAUUGAAAUAGACAAAUAAUUUAAUGACAAACUUGAUGAAAAUAUUUUGACAGAAAUGUUGCUUUGAUUCAUCUUCAACCUCUUUUCAUAACAACAUUACACACGCCUAGUAUAAUACAGUAACAUGUUAAACUUAAGCUCAUACUUAAUACUUAAUCAACCUAAGCUCAAAUUCUGGGACACCAACAAUCAAGUACUCUCGCAUCACCAUUAAACAUAGAGCUUGAGGAUGAAUACCGACUUUGAUAACUAUUUUUGCUCAUAUGCUUACCACCCAUCAUUUCAGAUUCAACCUGAACACCAAAGUGAGAUUUUUUUUUGAGGAUUUUUGAAUUUCGAAUUCAAUAAAAAAAAAAUAAAGUUUUGGAGUUUUUGGAAUUGGGGAAGAACAUUGUCAUCAAUUAACAGAAGAAAUUUUGGGGAUUUUGAACUCUAGAUGACAAAUUAUAAAUUAGGGUUCUAAUUUUAUAGAUUUGAGGAAGAAAGAGCUAUAGUAUAACAGUCAUUCUUCUGCAAAUUAUGGAAUCCAAUUUUCUGCAAAUCAAUCAAUUUGGUCAUUGGAAAUUUUGUCACUUUCGGCCAAAUUAAUCCUUGCUUGUGUGACAUCUGACAUGACAAGCCUUGUGAGAGGUUAACAGAACACGUCAUCACCGUUAAUAUCCCAACUUAACGGAGAGACUAAUUUGAUUGACAUUUGACAACUUCAGAAACUAAUGUGAUAUUUCGACAAAUUGAAAGACGAAUUUGGAUAUUUACUUGAAACAAAACACAAGGAUUUGUCAAAUUUUACCAACCUUUUGACCUUUAUACUUUCAACCAUUUGAACCGUACUGUCCAUUCCAAAACUACCAACCAAGAGAACCAUACAAUCAUUAUCAAGACUCAACCAUUUAAACAAUAUUCCGCUUGUGUAACUUUGAGUUUUGUGAUUUUGUGACCUCUUAAUCUCUUAUCUAUCUCCUUACUAAUAAUUCUCUGUCACCAAAAUAAUUUAUUAAUCACUAAAAAAAAUCAUACCAUUGUUCUUUGUGUGUGUUAACCUUCCCAUUCUUAGAGGAAAGGUUAAUCCAAAGUAAAGUCAAACAAAAAUUGUUUCAUUCAAAAAUAGAACAGUACCAUCUUUUUCAAGAUUACCAUGAAUGUGUUGGAAAAAAAAACACACACACAAGUGGUUUGUAUUGCGUUGAUUGCGCAUUUAUUUGAACCACAAUUACUCGCACAACUCAUUAGAGAAGAAAUGAAGAAUACACGGUUACAGGAAAAAGUUGUAAUCAAUGCACUCAUGUAAAAAUUCGACGAAGUUUUUAUCAACCACAUUCCUCUUACUCUUAGGCUACCCAUUACGAAGCAAGAACCUUAGAUUCAAAAGUCCUCAGGCCAGGAUACUAUUGACAGACUAUACAAGCAGAUAUCAAAACAAUUUUAUGAUUUUAUAAUAUAUAUCAAAGGUUCCUUCAAAAAAAUAUAUAUAUAUCAAAGGCGUAACAUCAUCCUUAAGUCAUGAGACAAGUUAUAAGACUUACACUAUAUCUCAACCGUUAAACAUAAUAUAUCUAAGGGAUCAUAACAUUCCACCAGUCAAAUUAAAAAAAAUCCUUAGGUAAGGCACCACAUGUGAUUUCGUCUUCUUUCUCUUCAAGAUCCCACGGUGCCCCUGGAGAGUUUGUUUCAUGUUCUUUUUUAUUGAGUUGCAAUGCAAUCAAUAGUCCAACCAAAUAAUGGGUUGAUUGUUGAGCUGAGUGGAAAAGUUCCUACAAAAUGAGUUGCAACAAGGAUCAACAAGGUGCUCACAAAAUUACACCACGAUUGUUUAACUAUGUUUUUGAAAAUUGAAGGUUUGACAAAUUUAUAGAAAUUACAGAAACCUAAAUCAUGAAAAGAAAGGGAAAACAAAAAAUAAAGAUCUCAUGUAAGAAAGUCUUGUGAUCUUCUCAAUUUAUUAAUCUUGUUUUCUGAAGUCUCUAAUACCACAUUACCAUACUUUUUGACCACACCACAAGUUAACGUUGGCAAAGAUGGAAGAAAAUUGGGACAUUGCGAUGGUGGUUGGUGCUGUAGGUUUACAUGCAUCAAUAACAAAAGUCCUAUAGCACACCACGUUAACAUACUUAUUGAUUAAAUCUAACAAAACAACAUCCAAAUAAUUACAAUCCACCGAGUUGAAACCCUUUUCAAAAUCAACUUUGAAUAUAAUUAAUUCCUUUUUCAACUUGCGGGUUUCAUCCACUAACUCAUUACCCAUUAAAAUACCAUUGGUAAUUUGGCAACCAUGAACAAAGGUUGAUUGCUCCUCAAAAAUUACAAUUUCUAUUACCGUUCGUAAUUGAUUAACGAAGACUUUAGCCAACACUUUAUACAAACAUUCAUAAGGGAUACAAGGGUGAUAGUCUUUGAGGGCUAUCCCCCAUAGGAACAAAGGAGAUAAAAAUGUUGGUGAUACCUUUCACCAACUUAUCAUUUCAAUGAAACUUUUAAAUGAAGCGCAUAAAAUUGAUUUCAAAAUCUUCCCUAAACUCUUUGAUAAAACAAAAAUUAACACCAUCGGAGCUGAAUUUUUGUAAUUAUCGCAAUGCCAAAUGACUUGUUUCGCCUCCUCAAGAUUGAAAGGUUUUAAAAGAUAAACUCCUUGCACCAAACUCAAAGAUUUGAAAGUAAAAUUUUCUACCACUUUAUGACCAUUACCAUUUAUAGAGUGAAUAGCAUUAGACCGACGUCUAGAAGAUGAAACUCCAUGAAAUAAUUUGUUAUUAGCAUCCCCCUCUCCAAAUCAGCAUAUUCUUGAUUUCUCUCAAUGCAUGCUAGAAUUUAUUCUUGCCAAAGAGUGUAAAUUUUGUAGAUAAAUAAUGAAGCUCCUCUUAUGCGCUAAAUUCAUCUUUUAAAUCCAGAGAUGAAAUGCGUUCUUUUUUUUUGACGGAGAUGAAAUGCGUUCUUAAACAUAAAGAAUUAUGGUUUUCAAAUUUCGAGUAUGAUGUUAAUGUCAGGAUUUUAGUCUGCCUUUAAUCAACUUAAAUUUUUCUUUUAACACAAAACCUCCGCACGUAUCAUAACUUAUAAUACUUACUUAAAUAUUUUUUUUUGAAAUCUUUUUAAAAAUAUUUACUCAUAGUCGAACUCGUUGAUCCGACUUAUAUUCAAUCAUAGUCGAGUCGGGUUGCUUUGGAUUUGACAUAAAAAAAAAAAUUAUCAUUUCAUUUUUAGACAUCAUUUGUUUUUUAAAAAAAAAUGAUAUUCGUCUAUUCAAAUUGAUGAAAUCAUAUUCAUUACAACUCCCAAUGUAACUUUUGAACUAUCAAUUUUAUUCACUUUAGCCAUGGAUUUUUAUUUAUUGUGUUAAUCCUCUAGUUCUAAGGAAAAAAGAUCCUUGAUAAUUAGAAUAAAAUUUGAUCAAGAAUUGUUUCACCAGGAAUCAAACUCAGGCUCUCCUUAACAAUUUAUCUUUUGAUUGAGCUUAUUAACCACUUGAAUCAAAUUGCUUGAGUUUUAUUAUAGAUGCCUUCUUCCACGUUUUAUUACUUUAAAAAAAAUCAUAUUCUAAAUUUUGCUUGAUUUUACUCAGAUUUAGUUCUACAUGCUAACAUAAUUUUAGUAUACUAAUAUUUUUGUUGUAUAUUUGAAUUUUUGCCUCGCCAAAUUAAAUAUAACAUGCAUAAUUUUAGGUGUAUAUUUUUGUUGUGUAUUUUUUUUAAGUGUGAACUAAAAAGUGUAUAUUUUUAAAAAUAUAUAAAAGUUUUAAUUGAUCUGGUCGGCCCGAAAAAACUCGUAUCCCUCAAAGGGCUGAGAUUAAUUAAACAUUUUUUAGCCCGUUUAUCAUCCGAACCUUUUUGGUCGAACUUGAAAAGUCUGAACUUGACAUGGAUUUUGGUCCGAAUAGUCGGUUAACAUAUUUUGACGGCGCUAGAAUUCAUAGAUCACAUCUCGCCAAUGAGGUGUCUGCACUUAAGUUAAGGCGGUUGUAUUUUUUACUGAAUUUUUUGUUUAUUCAUACCAAUUGUAUCAAAAUUCUUAUUAUAUUUUUUUACCUAAUUUCGUUUAUUCAUACCAAUUGUAUUGAAAAAAUUAUCAUUAAUGAAAUGAAUUAAGUUUGUUGCUUAAAAAAACAUUUUCUAUCAAAAAAAUAGGUAUAAAUUGGCUGAGUGAGAAUGGAUAAUUAAAAAAUAAGUUUAUUGAGAAAAAAAUAAUAUAUACUUGCCAAAAAUAAAAAAUUAGUGAGAAAAAAUAUCUAAAGGAAUAUUCCAAGCAUGGGCCAACGGCGCACAAAAAACAAUGUCGGUGGACUCCACACAUCAGACUCAAUCAGUAUAUGAUUCCACGUAGCCCUAGUUUUAACCCAAUCCAUAACCCUAGUUAACAAUUCCUCUCCUAUAUAAACACCCCUCUGCGUUCACUGUGAAAAUAUCUUCCUUCAUCUUUUCCCCUAAUUCCUUCUCUGUCCCCAAUUCGAUUCGAUGGGUUCUUCUGAUGUUGAGUACCGUUGCUUCGUCGGAGGUCUUGCAUGGGCCACCGAUAGCCAAGCUCUCGAGCAAGCUUUCUCUAAGUUUGGUGAAAUCACUGAUUCCAAGGUCCGUGCGGAUUCUGAUUCGGAUUCGGAUUUCGAUUCUGAUCUGUGAUCUGUUCUGUUACUCUGUUACUUGAUCUGUUUGUUACUACUGAUUCUGUUACUGUGAUUGUGAUUCUGUUACUAUAUCAUUUGAUUCGAUUCUUUUGUUACUCAUACCAAUAGGUACGUUCAUCUUCAUCUUUUAACAAAAGGAGAAGAUCGAUCGGUUACUAUUCGGUUUUUUUGAUUUAUGAAUCUGUUUUGAUUGUUGAAUGUUGAUUUGUCAUGGAUCUGAAUUUUUGUUGUUUUUGUUUUGUUUAGGUGAUUAACGAUCGUGAAACUGGACGAUCAAGAGGUUUUGGUUUUGUGACAUUCGCUGAGGAGAAAUCGAUGAGAGAUGCAAUUGAGGAGAUGAACGGUCAGGAUAUUGACGGCAGGAAUAUUACUGUGAAUGAAGCUCAGUCCCGUGGUAGUGGUGGAGGAGGUAGAGGUGGUGGCGGCGGUGGUUAUGGUGGCGGCGGUGGUUAUGGAGGAGGCGGUGGUGGAUAUGGAGGAGGCGGUGGUCGUCGUGAUGGUGGAUACAGCAGAAGCGGUGGUGGUGGAGGCUAUGGGGGAGGAGGCGAUCGUGGAUAUGGUGGUGGAGGUGGUGGUGGUUAUGGUGGAGGUAGGGACCGUGGAUAUGGAGGUGGAGGUGGUGACCGUGGUUAUGGUGGUGGAGGUGGCGGUGAUCGCUACUCUCGUGGUGGUGGUGCUGAUAGCGGUGGAAACUGGAGGGAUUAGAAAAUUAGGUCUUCAGUUUGGUGGUUUAUGAUUAUGAAUGUUGUCAUGUUGAAUUAGUUU
rnacentral:lncRNA from 1 species